UUUUUUUUAGGUUCACGCGAGUAUCUUGGUUUUGUUCCGAUGGUUUUGUGACGAGAACAUUGUUCUUGGUGCCUCCUGUCUUUAGGGGUUGUGGCAGUGUCCCGGGGAGUUGAGCUCCGAGGUGUUGUCGUCACAAUUUUAUCGUUGCAAUUCUGGUAUACUUGAGAUAUGUUCGCCGACAUCGAAAAUCUCUUUUAUGCAGUUCGUUGGUGAGAUAACCUCGACGCCACCCAGUACUGGGGCGGGAGUUCGGGAGUAUCGCCAUAACUUGUAUAACGGAUGCUUUUCGAAGGUUGAGGUAGAUGGUUUCCGAAGUUUUCCUGGUUAUGUGUUGAAGGAUGGAUACAGCUGGAUGUAGGAUUUGCUAGUUUGGGUGAGAUAUUGUGCUUCCCCUGUAUCCCCAACACCUGAUUGCAUAACCGGAAAGGUUCGGGAGUUUCAUAGAUGGGAAUUCUAGUAGCUCUAGUUCUUCUUCCACGGAUAUUGGUUUGAGAUUGGGAUUUCUUACCGAUUAUUCGUUCUUGAUCCGUACCUUGUUGAUUUAUUUCUCUACCUUAAUUCUUCGUGGCUUUGCAAUUUAUGGAUAUGUGAUCAUUUGAAGAGGAAUGCAUUCGUUCAUUUUGUUCGGAUGUGAAGACUAUAUGUUGCAAUUUUCAUUCCGUUGGAUUCAGCUUCUAUAUUGUUGUCUAUCUAUGUGCUAAUGGUGGUCAACCUGUUCAGGAUGGCUCCUCCAACGCGCACGACUCCGAAUCCUAAUCCGCCUCCACCUCCGCCUCCUCCGGAAGCAUGGCAAGCUGUGAUGGCCGCUACUAAUGCAAACACACAGUUGAUCAUGCAAAUCCUUCAAGAGCGCAUUCAAGGCAGUCAAGGGAAUCAAGGCCAUAAUCAGCACCACUUUGCUACUCUGAACCAGUUCCUUGCUAAUGGACCAAAGACGUUCAACGGUUGUGUUGAGGCUACCGAUGCUGACGAUUGGCUAGUGGAUCUGGGCAAGCAUUUUGAAUGCAGCAACGUCAGGCCUGAAGAUUUCGUCAAGUUCGCUUCUUUCCAGCUCAAAGAUCAGGCUGCAGAGUGGUUCCAGCAGUACAAGGAUUCCAGAGGUGGACGUCUGAUCACUUGGGACGAUUUCCGUCAAGAUUUCCGCGUUCAUCACAUCCCUCAAAGUGUGGUUGAGAGUAAGCGUCAGGAAUUCCGCAAUCUGAAGCAAGGUUCUUUGUCUGUCUAUGACUACAACAAGUUGUUCCAGAAGCUCGCCCGUUUUGCCAAGCAGGAUGUUCCUGACGAGAAGAGCAUGAUCUAUCAGUUCAGGGGUGGUCUUCGUGAGGAAAUUCAGCUCGCUCUUGUCCUCUUUGAGCCGUUGAGAUACGAUGAGUUCUACAACAUGGCACUGAAGCAAGAGGCUGCUCAGAUGAGAUGUGAUGCUUCCAGGAAGCGUGCCAGAGAUGUUACUCCGUCUUCCUCUACUCAGGUGGUCAAGCAGCAGAAGUAUUGGCUUCCUCCUCCUCCGUUCCGUCAGCCGUAUCAGCAGAAGAGCAAAGGUGGCGGUGGUUUCUCCCACCCACCCAACCCAGGCUUUCAGAACAAGGCUUCGUCUCAAGCUCCAAGAUCGAGUGCUCCGUAUCACCGUCCGCUUUCAGAGGUCACGUGCAACAAGUGCCAACAGAAGGGUCACUAUGCCAACAAGUGUACCAACCAGAGGCGUCUUCCUCCUCCUCCUCCUGUCAGAUCGGCAAGUACAGCGGUGGUCAAGCACAAUCCCAAGCACGCCAAGGUCAAUAUGCUGAAUGCAGCUCAGGCAGAGGAUUCUUCAGAUGUGAUCAUGGGUAACCUUCCUGUUAAUGAUAUUCCUGCAAAAGUUCUUUUUGACUCUGGUGCAUCGCAUUCCUUCAUGUCAUUUCCAUUUGCAUCGGAGAACAAUUUUAGCACUAGGGCAUUACCUAGAGCUAUGCAAGUCGUCUCUCCAGCUAAGCGACUAAGUUCCAGUAUGGAGGUGCCGGAUAUUUCAAUCUUGAUGGGCGAUUUCAAGUUUCUUGCUUCCCCAAUGGUUCUUGGAAACUCGGAUAUCGAUCUUAUUCUCGGGAUGGACUGGCUCUCUAAGCAUAAAGCUCAGCUUGAUUGUGCAGCCAGGCAGAUUCAACUGACUCAUUCGUCUGAGGAGGUCAUUGUCUUUGCCGCUCGGGAUAAUUCCGUCCGAUUGUUUUCUCUCAAUGAGAAGGGUGAAUUGGAUGCUAUUUCGCAGAUUCCGGUUGUUUGUGAGUAUCAAGACGUCUUUCCAGAAGAGCUUCCAGGGAUGCCUCCGCACCGGCCAGUUGAAUUCGUUAUUGAACUUGAGCCCGGUACGGAACCUGUGUGCAAACGUCCUUACAAGCUCGGCCCCGAAGAGUUGAAGGAGUUGAAGAAACAACUCGAUGAGCAAGAAAGAUUGGGUCUCAUUCGGCCUAGUACUUCUCCGUGGGGUUGUGGUGUUCUUUUUGUGAAGAAGAAGGAUGGAUCGAGUCGACUUUGUGUUGAUUACUGUCCAGUAAACAAGAAGACCAUCAAGAACAAAUACCCACUUCCCAACAUCAAUGAGCUAUUCGAACAACUCAAGGGUGCUCAAGUAUUCUCCAAGCUUGAUCUCCGUAUGGGUUAUCAUCAGAUUCGUAUUCGUGAGCAAGAUAUUCCCAAGACGGCGUUCAGAACAAGCUUUGGUUCAUAUGAAUACACCAUCAUGUCUUUUGGCCUCGCCAACGCUCCUCCGACGUUCUCUCGCAUGAUGAACUUCAUCUUCAACCCCUACACCAAUGAAUUCGUUCUGGUCUACCUCGACGACAUUCUGGUUUUCUCGAAGAACAAGAAAGAUCAUGCCAAGCACUUGCGUUUGGUUCUUGACAAGCUCAGGGAACAUCAGUUCUACGCCAAGUUCUCCAAGUGUGAAUUUUGGCUCGAUGAGGUUCUUUAUCUUGGUCAUAUCAUCUCUGCCAAGGGCAUUUCCGUGAAUCCUGAGAAGGUGUCUGCAAUUGUGAAUUGGGAACCUCCUCAGAAUGUUAAGCAACUCCGCAGUUUUCUCGGUCUCGCAAGCUACUGCAGAAGAUUCGUUGAAAACUUUUCUAAGAUCGCCAAGCCUCUCUCAAAUCUUCUUCAGAAGCACGUCAAGUACGUUUGGUCUCCGGAGUGUGAUAUUGCUUUCAACUCUUUGAAAGAGAAAUUGGUCACUGCUCCAGUUCUGACUCCGCCUGAUGAAACCAAGCCGUACGAGGUCUUUUGUGAUGCCUCUCUCCAAGGUCUCGGUGCUGUACUGAUGCAAGAGAAGAAAGUUGUUGCUUAUACCUCUCGUCAGUUGAGACCUAAUGAGAAGAACUACCCCACUCAUGAUCUCGAGUUGGCGGCAGUUGUGCAUGCCUUGUUGACUUGGAGACAUCUUCUAUUGGGAAGAAAAGUGGAUAUUUUCACUGAUCAUAAGAGUCUCAAGUACAUCUUCACUCAGCCUAAUCUCAACCUCAGGCAGACUCGAUGGGUCGAAAUGAUUCAAGAGUACAAUCCGAGUAUCGAGUAUACUCCAGGCAAGGCUAAUGUGAUUGCUGACGCUUUGAGCAGAAAAGCAUAUUGCAACAGUCUGAUUCUCAAGCCUUAUCAACCCGAGCUUUGUGAAGCUUUCCGCAAACUUAAUCUGCAAGUUGUUCCUCUAGGUUUCCUCGCCAACCUUCAAGUCUCUCCUACCUUAGAAGACCAGAUUCGCCAAGCCCAACUUCUUGAUGCUAUGGUGAAGAAGGUGAAGAUUGGUAUUGCAAAGAGUCAGUCCAAGUACAAGUGCUACCGACUUGAUGACAAGGACACUCUCUUCUUCGAGGAUCGAAUUGUUGUGCCCAAAGGUGAACUCCGUAAGGUGAUCAUGAACGAGGCUCACAACUCUCUCCUCUCCAUCCACCCUGGUAGUACGAAGAUGUAUCAGGACCUCAAGCAAGCUUAUUGGUGGACUCGAAUGAAGCGCGAGAUCGCUCAAUUCGUGAACGAAUGUGAUGUCUGCAGAAGAGUGAAGGCAGAACACCAAAGGCCAGCUGGUCUCCUCCAACCUCUUGCCAUUCCAGAAUGGAAGUUUGACCACAUUGAAAUGGACUUCGUGACUGGGUUUCCAAAGUCCAAGCGUGGCAAUGAUGCUAUCUUCGUUGUCAUCGACAAGCUCACCAAAGUGGCUCACUUUCUGCCUAUCAAAGAGUCAAUCACUGCAGCUCAAUUGGCGGAACUCUAUACCUCUCGCAUUGUCUCUCUGCACGGUAUUCCUCAAGUGAUAUCUUCAGACCGUGGCAGCAUCUUUACCUCCAAGUUUUGGGAUUCUUUUCAGAAGGCUAUGGGCACCAACAUCCGCUUCAGCACAGCUUUCCAUCCUCAAACAAGCGGUCAAGUCGAGCGUGUCAACCAAAUUCUUGAAGAUAUGCUCAGGGCUUGUGUGAUCUCCUUCGGCAUGAAGUGGGAGGAUUGUCUUCCUUAUGCUGAAUUCUCAUACAACAACAGCUUUCAAGCAAGUUCGGGCAAGGCCCCCUUUGAAAUUCUAUAUGGCAGGAAGUGCCGUACCCCUCUCAACUGGUCUGAAACCGGCGAACGUCAGCUGCUGGGUAAUGACUUAAUCACAGAAGCAGAAGAAAUGUGCAAAGUCAUUCGUGAUAACCUCAAAGCAGCCCAGUCCCGCCAGAAGAGCUACUAUGAUAGUAAGCACCGUGAUCUGGCUUUCGAGAUCGGAGAUCAUGUUUACCUCCGCGUCUCUCCCAUGAAAGGUACUCGUCGCUUCGGUAUCAAAGGGAAGCUUGCCCCUAGAUACGUGGGACCUUUCAAGAUUGUCAGCAAGAGAGGCGACCUCGCCUAUCAACUCGAGCUUCCUUCAAACUUUGCAAAUGUUCAUGAUGUGUUCCAUGUCUCUCAGCUUCGAAAGUGCUUCAAGACUCCUGACCGCACCGUCAACUUCGAGGACAUUGAGCUCCAAGAAGAUCUCUCCUAUCGUGAGCACCCAGUUGCUAUUCUCGAAGAGACAGAACGCAAGACUCGCAACAAGUCAAUCAAAUUUCUCAAAGUCAAGUGGUCACACCAUUCCGACCGUGAAGCUACCUGGGAACGCGAGGAUCACCUUCGUUCUGAGAACCCGGAGUUCUUUCAGUCCUAGAUCUCGGGACGAGAUCUUUUCGUAGUGGUGGAGUGUUGUAACGCCCCAGUUAUACUUUCCAUAUUUGUAUCCAACUCUUGCCGUCUCCGGCGCUAAGUUAUAUUUAUUUCUCGGGUUUGGGUCUUUGUCUUCGUGUGUGUUGUUUUCGUUUUCAUGCAUCUCAUAUCAGGUCAUCACGUGCAUUGCAUUUGCAUACAUGUUCACCUCAUGCAUUCGAUCAUUUUCCCCGUUGUCCGUUUUGCAUUCCGGCGCUUCGUUCUCCUCCGGUGGUCAUUUCUACCUUUCUUUCUUGUGUGGGGUUUAAACAUUUCCGGAUUGGACCGAGUCUUGCCAAGCGGUCUUGGUUUACUACCGGUAGACCGCCUGUCAAGUUUCGGGUCAUUUGGACUUCGUUUGAUACCCCAACGGUUAACCGAGGGACCGAAAAGGCCUCUUGUGUGUUGCAGCCCAACACCCCCCAAAUUUGGCCCAAAACCCACCAAACUCUGCUCCAUGUCCUAGAGCGUUCGAUCACGAUCGUGUGGGCGAAAACCGCACCUCAUUUGGACUCUCCUAGCUCCCUCUAUGCCUAUAUAUACACCCCUCCGUUUUCGGAUCUCUCCCUCUCCCCGAAACCCUAAAAAAAAAAAGAUUUCCUUCCUCCGCCGCCGACGGACGUGUCCGGAUCGGACCGGACACCGUCCGCCCCGCCGCCGCCAGCCAACCGCGAGCCGCCAAGUGGCGCCUCGGGUCCCCAGUUCACCGCCGACGCCCGGGGCCCGCCAGGCCCACGAAGGGCCCUCCCCGGCCCGCAGUCUCCCCGCCGCCUCCUCCUACGUCCGCCGCCGCCACCUCCGGCGCCGGUGGCCGCCGCCGCCGCGGGCCGCCGCGCCCCCGACCGGAGUUCGUCGCCGCGUCGCCGCGGGCCGCCGCGCCCGACCCCGCUCCGCCCCGCUGCCAUCUCCGGUGGUCGCGGCUCCGCCACCGCCCGGCGCCGCCGUCCCGGCCACCGGACGCCGCCCCGCCGGCCGUCGUCCCCGCCUUCGCCGGCGUCGCCUCGGGAGGCGCGCCCCGACCCGGCUGCUACAGUGCCCGAACCCUAGAUCUGAGAUCUAAACCGAGGGUUGACUUUUUCCCUCUCCCUCUAAUUUUUAUGCAUUCUUUGACUGCUUGUAUCUCCGCAACCGAAACUCCGUUUUGGGCAUAUAAUAUAUCAAAAUCUUCGUCUCGACAUGUACAUCAUUUCAUUCCAUUGCAUAAUUUGCAUUUGAGGUCAUCUUGAUACCCAAAAUGCUGUGAGAAGGAGGCUUCGUGAGUUAAAUUGCAGAUCCGUUAGUUCAUCUUGCACUUUUGUCAUUUUUGCUAUAUUUAAUUCGUGCAUGAUAUGCCUGUGCCCCUUUGGGAUGUAUUGUGAAGCAUUUUGUCUUCUUUCCAGAGGUGCCACCCAUGCAUUUUUAGGAUGUGUGUGUUGUCUUGUGCAAGCUUGCGAAGAGAGGUACCUGAGAUUGCAGAUUUCAGGGACUUAGUGAUUUUCACUAAGUCUGGGAUAUUUUAGUUCAUGAUGCCAUAUGUCCAGCUUGUUUCCUAGUGAUCCGUGCCUCUUUUGAGGAUGAUCAGUAAGGGAGUUUUGAUAUUUAUGUCAUGCUCUAUCCAUCCAUGUCUUUGUUGGCAUUUGUGGAGUGCUCUAGGUUGACUCAAUCGAGCUCAACUUUUGCUUCGUUGUUAAUCUGGGCAGAUCGUCAACUUGUUUGCGAUUUCGCCGAUGCUACCGUUAGUGUUCCAUGCAUGCUAUGCCUUCGUUCUUGCCAUGUGUAGCUAGCACUUUGUGCCUUCUUGCUGGUUAUAUGCUUUACUUGCCAUGACUUGCACCGUAGUGAGUGCAUCGAGCUCGUUUACAUGCCUUCGUGAGUUAAAUUUCAGCAUGUCUCAGUUUUCACUAAGUCUGAAAACUGAUUGUGUUCGAGCGAUGUUCGUGAGCUCGGUAGAGUAUUUUGUGAACCCUUUUGGCCCCAGGUCACUUUGGGUGUUUUAUUAAGCUUGUUGAGUAGCUCCAUGCCAUGUUCUUACUUGUCAUGUUCAGGUUCUCUAUCAUGUUGUUUUGCUGCUCCGAAGAGAGCUUCGUGAUCUGAAAUUUCAGACUAGUGUUAAUUUCACUAAGUCUGAAAUCUGUUUUGCAUUUGCAUUUUAGCCAUGCUUGUUUGAACCUCUUAAUGGAUGAAUUUGCCUAUGGCUCAGUGCUAGUGUUUUGUCAACCAUCUUGUGUACAUCACUUCCAUGUAUUUUGUUUUCAUGUUUGGUGGCUGUAGCAUGUUCAUUUCAUUGCAUUUAGAUGCCUACUUGCUGUAAAUCGCAGACCGGUGUCAUAUCUUAAAACGCUCGCCAUUUCCAAACCGUAGCUCCGAUUCCAAUGAUCUUUAUAUCGUUUUCAAGUGAUUUCAUCCCCUAUAUCCAGUGGCACACUUGGUUUUCCAAGUUGAGGCCAGGUUCAUGCUUUUCCUGUCAUAUCUUGCAUUUUGCAUCCCGCAUCGCAUCCCGCAUAGCAUAUCGUCAUUUCAUCAUAUUGCUUGGACUUGCCCGUGGUUGAUUGUAUCCUUGUUGCUUGUUUGUCUUGUUGGGUAGAGCCGGGAGACGAGUUCGCUACCGAGGAGCCCGUUGAGUUUGCUUGUGAGGAUCCAGUCAACUCUGACAACUGUGCAGGCAAGAUGAUCAUACCCUCGAAAUCACUACUAUCUUUGCUAUGCUAGUUUGCUCGCUCUUUUGCUUUGCCAAUGCUACGAUGCCUACCAUUUGCUUGUCAGCCUCCCAAUUGCCAUGUUGAACCUCUAACCCCCCCUUUGUCCUAGCAAACCGUUGAUUGGCUAUGUUACCGCUUUGCUCAGCCCUUCUUAUAGCGUUGUUAGUUGCAGGUGAAGAUUGGAGCCGUUCCUUGUUGGAACAUUUAUUUACUUGUAGGGAUAUCAUUAUAUUGCUAUGUUAUCUUAAUGCAUCUAUAUACUUGGUAAAGGGUGGAAGGCUCGGCCUCUCGCCUAGUGUUUUGUUCCACUCUUGCCGCCCUAGUUUCCGUCAUAUCGGUGUUAUGUUCCCGGAUUGUUGCGUCCCUUACACGGUUGGGCUAUAAUGGGAACCCCUUGAUAGUUCGCCUUGAUUAAAGCUUUUCCAGCAAUGCCCAACAUUGGUUUUACCUUUUGCUACCUAGCCUCUUUUCCCUUGGGUUUCCGGAGCCCGAGGGUCAUCGUAUUUUAGCCCCCCCUUGGGCCAGUGCUCCCUCUGAGUGUUGGUCCGAACUGAGCUGCCUGCGGGGCCACCUCGGGGAAACUUGAGGGUUGGUUUUACUCGUAGCUAGUCUCAUCUGAGUGUGCCCUGAGAAAGAGAUAUGUGCAGCUCCUAUCGGGAUUUGUCGGCACAUUCGGGCGGUGUUGCUGGACUUGUUUUAACCUGUCGAAUCAUCUUGUUGUACCGAGAUACCGAGUCUGAUCGGUGUGUCUUGGGUGGAGGUCUAUUCCUUCGUUGACCGUGAGAGCUUGUCAUGGGCUAAGUUGGGACUCCCCUGCAGGGAUUGAUCUUUCGAAAGCCGUGCCCGCGGUCAUGGGCAGAUGGGAAUUUGUUAAUGUCCGGUUGUAGAUGACUUGAACUAAACUUAAUUAAAAUGAUUCAACCGUGUGUGUUACCGUGAUGGCCCCUUCUCGGCGGAGUCCGGGAAGUGGACACGGUGUUGGAGUUAUGCUUGCGCAGGAUGUUCCUUUAGCUUCUCGCUCGUGCUUCGCCUUCUCUUCUCGCUCUCUAUUGCGUAUAAGUUAGCCACCACAUAUGCUAGUCGCUUGCUGCAGCUCCACAUAUUUUUGCCUUAUCCAUUCCUAUGAGCUUAAAUAGUCUUGAUCGCGUGGGUGUGAGAUUGCUGAGUCCCUGUGACUCACAGAUACUACAACUCCAGAUGCAGGUUCAGGUGUUUCUGCUCCAGUUGGCGAUUACGAGCUUCAGUGGGAGUUCGACGAGGACUCUCAGCGUUACUACGUAUCUUUUCCGGAUGAUCAGUAGUGGUGCCUAGUUGGGGUUAUCGAUUCAGGACCUUGUCGCAUGUUGGGGGUCUUUUCCAUUUUGGCGCCGUAGUCGGGCCAUGAGUGCUUGUUUGAUGGAUGUUAUUUAUGUACUCUGAUGUGACGUGGCGAGUGUAAGCCAACUAUGUUAUCUCCCCCUUUUAUUAUAUAUUACAUGGGAUGUUGUAAUGAUUGCCUAACUUGCGACAUUGCUUUCAAUGCGGUUAUGCCUCUAAGUCGUGCCUCGACACGUGGGAGUUAUAGCCGCAUCGAGGGCGUUACAACAAGCCAUCUAGCAAAGCCACGCUGUGGGCCGCAGGCAGGCAAGUCUGGGGACCCCCAUUCCCAGAACACCGAUAGUAGCCCCCGGGCCCAAGGCGCGCUCGGGCUUGACUUCGAGGCGAAGACAAGGGUCAAGUGCGGAGCGCCGGGGCCCCAAUAGCCCGCGGCCUUGGUCGAGCGUGGCGGUUGAUUGGACGUGGGCGUCUCCGCUUCUCCAUGCUGCCUCGGCAACUGCCCGACAUGACAAGUCCGUGCAACAUGCAAGGGAAACCAUCAUUACGUGUGAUUGUGUGGGGUGCUGGUUGGCCUUCUCCUGGUAUAAAUGGGAGGGGAUGGAGCCCCCGUCGCCCAUCCUUCCUCUUCUGCUUCCGCCUUUUCUCCUUCCUUGCUCCUCUCCUGCCACCAAUGGCGCCGUCAAGGAGGUUCACCACCACGGAGAAGGGGAAGGCCCCUCGCGAGGGGCCCGGCUCUCCGGUGCCCAAGCGUGGACGCGACCAUCCCCGCAAGCACACCACAACCCCCGUCACGGCUCCGCGGGGCCGCGGUGGUGCCGCUUCGCGGGGCAGGGGUCGCUCCAGUUGUGGUUGUCCCGUUGAUGGAGGGAGACGCGCCGUGGUCGCGUGGCCUCCCCGGCCCUGCUUCCACUCGGCAGAGACGUUGCAGAGUUCGUCGUCUGGUCGGGGAACCCGGCCGGCAACUGCUUUCAGCUCCCGUGCUUCUUCGCCGUCGAGCUGCCCGCUUUAGGUCCUGGCGGGCUUUGGCUACAGGCAGACGGUUGCUGCAGUAGGGCUUCCUGGGUUGCGGUCGCGGUCUCCGCCGCGAGCAAUGUAGCUCUGGCCCGCGGUUGGCAGACGUUGGCCCAUGUGUGCGGCCUGGGCAGGCGGUGCACCCUUCAGUUCAAGUACGACGGCGACGCGACCCUCUAUGUGAGGGUGUUUGGGGAAGAUGGUCGUCGCGCCUGGUGCUACCCCGAGGUGAACGACGGUGAGGAGGUGCUCGGGCUUGGGGACGGCCGUGACGAGGAUGAGAGCGAGCCCGCCCUUGGUGCCGACCACGUCUCGUCUGGCUAUGACAGCUCUUCCCCCAGCGACAGCUCCAGCAGUGGCGACUAUGACCAGCUGCCACGCUGCCGUGCCCACUUCGAAGAUAGUGGCGGGUCGUCUUGUCGCUGUGCCUCCGUGAAGCGUGAGGAGGGGUCUGGCUGAGCUGAGGAGGGUGCUAGGGCCUGCGCCCAUGAACCGCUGUAGGCGCCGCUUCUAUUUUGUUCUUCUUUUCCUUCCCGCAUCAGAAAGAAACCAGAGUGGGCCUCGGAGGGGCGUAUAUCGAACUAUGAUCUCAAUCGUUAUGUUAUGUUUGCCAUUCCUGUGCCGUGCCAUAACAUUAUCGUUUUAUGUAGGGAUAACUUAGGUCGACUUGUUUUGAGUGACCUCCUCCUCACGAGGCGCUCGCUUCCUAGUGCUUGUUGAGGCCUCCUUGACAUGAUAUGCGCUUAGGAACUACAAAAAAUUCAUGAGAGGUUUAUCGCUCACCCGGGGUUUGGUUAUUAGCGCCACGAAGGUACCCGUUCAGCCCCCUCGCGAGGGACGCGAGGGAGAGUUCAGGUCGACCAAAGAGGCGAAGGCAGAAACAGAGGCAGAAAGCGAUAAAACGGGACCAUCAAGAGAUACCAGAAAGCAAAUUUCAAUUAAAAGAAGGGCGAGCCAACUUUGGAAAGCAAAUGAAAAACCGUGUCCGGCACCUAGUCUAGUAUUCAACGUCUUCUCACCAGCGCGGAGCUAAGUGCUGCCACUCGGCGUGGGAGGGAGCCCCCGAGGCCCAAGGGCGGCUCUCCCGAGGCUCCGGGGCGUGUACAACCCCACUCAUUAUUACAUGAGAGUGUCACAGGCGGCGAUUCUUCACAGGCACGGGGCCUUGCUUCACAUGCACUGGGCCUUUCUUCAUAGGCAUCGGGCCUUCUUCACAGGCACUAGGCCUUUCUUCACAGGCACUGGGCCUUCUUCACAGGAACUAGGCCUUUCUUCAUGGGUAGAACUUCUAGAGGUGUUGGAUGUUCUAGGCGUUCUGGACGGGUAUCCCGUCCUGCGUCUCCAGGCGCGCGGCGCCAGGCCCGAAGAUGUGGACGACCUUGAGCGGGCCCUCCCACAUGGGUGAGAGCUUAUGCAGCCCCUCCCUGGAGAGCACUCGCCUCAGGACGAGGUCACCCACCUCAAGAGUCCUGGAGUGGACGCUGCGAUAGUGGUACCACCGCAGCGCCUGCUGGUAUCUUGCCGCCCAUAGUGUAGCUUCACGGUGUCGUUCCUCCCCUAGCACGAGGUCCACCCCCUGCAUGGCGUCCUGCUGCGUCUCAUCAAACGCCAGGACCCGUGCAGAGCGAUGCUCGACCUCAUGAGGGAGGACUGCUUCUGCUCCAUAGACGAGGAAGAACGGUGUCUCGCCCAUUGGCUUGGUGGCGGUGGUGCGGAUCGACCACAACACAGACUGGAGCUCAUCGUGCCAGCCCCUGCCACAGGCCUCGAGCUUCUUCUUGAAGGUCCUGGUCUUGAGGCCCUUCAGGACCUCCGUGUUGGCGCGUUCGGCCUGGCCAUUGCUCCUGGGGUGUGCUACUGAGGCGUAGCAGAUCUGCGUUCCAAGGUUAGCACAAUGUGACUUGAAGAGAUUACUAGUGAACUACGAGCCGUUAUCAGUGAUGAUGCGGUUAGGGACCCCAAAACGGCUCACGAGGCCCUUGAUGAACUUGACUGCAAAGCCAACUGGGAUGGCGCGGACGGCUUCAACCUUCGGCCACUUGGUGAACUUGUCGAUGGCGACGUAGAUGUAUCGAUAGCCCCCAGGCGCCCGAGGGAACGGGCCUAGAAUAUCCAUCCCCUAGACCGCGAAUGGCCAUGAGAGUGGUAUGGUCUGGAGGCCCUGAACUGGCUGAUGGAUCUGCUUGGCAUGGAUUUGGCAGGCCUCUCAGGACCUGACCAGCUCAGCCGCGUCGUUGAGCGCCGUGGGCCAGUAGAAUCCACUUUGGAAUGCCUUGCCGAUGAGGAUUCGCGACGACGAGUGGUGCCCACAGUCUCCGUCGUGUAUGUCAGCUUUCAGCUCUUUCCCCUGUUCCCUGGAGAUACAACGCAAUGUAACAUCAUUUGGUCGCUUUCUGUAUAACUCGUCGUCCUAGAUGCAGUAUGUCGUGGCCUGUCGGGCCACGCACUCCGCGUCCUCCUCCUUCUCUAGCAACACUCCUUGCAUCAGGUAUUCCUUGAAUUCCUUGGUCCAGCAUCCCUCCUGGGGCUCGAGCGCCAGGAGUAGGCGCGCUCCUGAGGUCGGGCUACAUGCUAGGGCUCCUGAGGCUGGUGGCUGCGGGAGUUCCUCCCGAGGCUGAGUUGUUCUUGAAAGUGACAGCGUCGCUGAUGGCUUGAAGAGACGCUCCUCGAAGACGCCAGGCUCCUGGGGAUGUCGCUUGGAUGAUCUCCUGGUGAUGUUGUCUGCUUCCCUGUUGGUGCCAUGGGGUACGUGCUGCAACUCCAGGCCUUGAAAUUACUUCUCCAUCUUGCGCACCUCCGUGAGGUACGCUUCCAGGUGCUCAUCCCUUGGCUCGUAUACCUUGUUGGAGAAGUUGACAAGGAGCUGUGAGUCGCCCCUGAUAGUGAGGCGCUUCACCCCCAGCGUCGAAGAGCCUUCAGGCCGGCUAUGAGGCCCUCGUAUUCUGCAAUGUUGUUGGAGACCUUCUCGCCCUGCUGGAAGCAGAGCUGCAUGGCGUAGCAGAGCUUGUCCUGAGUGGGCGAGAUGAGUACUGCUCCAGCCCCCGCGCCCUGGCGCGCGAAGGCACAAUCAAAAUACAUGACCCAGCCGUCGGGCGCCUCGCUUCCCGGCGAGAGGGACCGGUCUUUGCCUUCUUCGGGCACUGGGGCGUCUGUCCAUUCUGCCACGAAAUCAGUGAGCGCGGCCCCCUUGAUGACCCUGGUAGUACUAAACUCCAGCUGGAGUGCUUGCAACUCGAUGUUCCAUUCAGCGACUCUUCCGGCAAAGUUGGGGAUCCUAAGCACUCUCUUCAACGGGUAAGCCAAGACGACCUUGAUGGGGUGGCCCUGGAAGUAGUGCCGCAGCUUUCACGAGGCCACUAAGAGCGCGAGUAGGAGCUUCUGAGGCAUGGGGUACCGCGCUCUUGUGUCCCGCAACACCGUACUGACGAAGUAUACCGGGUGCUCGAUGAGGGUAGGCAUGCUGAUGAGGUUUGCGUUUUCUGGAAGUUGGGGUGCCUCCUGAGGGGGUAGAGCCCCCGACGCUUGGUCGCUUGUCGAAGUCUUCGCGAGUUUGGGGGUGUCGUCCUGCUGAGCCUGAUCCUCUGCCGCUGCUGAUGCGGCCCUUGUGGCACCCUUCUGGUCUUGCAUCGUCUCUGCUGGAGGCGUGGCACAGCGCGGUGCGCCCUUGGCUUGGUGUUCUUCCCGAACCACCACCAGGGCCGCGCUGGCUGAGUACGGGGUGGAGGCAAGAUAGAGCACUAGGGGCUCGCGAGGUCGCGGCGCCACCAUCACUGGAGGGCUGGUCAGGUAUCUCUUGAGGUCUUGAAAAGCUUGGUCGGCCUCCGGGGUCCAUUUGAAGGGCCCCUUCUCUUUCAUCAGUUUGAAGAAGGGUAGGGCGUGCUCUCCCAGCUUGGAGAUGAAGCACCCCAACGCAGUCACCCGACUAGCCAACUUCUGCAUUUCCUUGAGGGUCUGUGGUGGGCUCAUGUCUUCAAUGGCCUUCACCUUCUCUGGGUUGGCCUCGAUCCUCCUGUGGGACACCAGGAAACCCAGCAGCUUGCCGGAGGGGACGCCAAACACACAUUUCUCCGGAUUGAGCCGCAAGUCCACCUGGCGAAGGCUCUCAAAGGUCUCCUCUAGGUCUUGGAUAAAGGUCCCCACCUCCCGAGACUUUACUAUGAUGUCGUCGAUGUAGGCUUGAGCGUUUCUCCUGAGCUGCCGCCCUAAGGCGAUGUGCAUGAGUCGCUGGAAGGUUGCGCCCAUGUUGCGCAGCCUAAACGGCAUGCAGGUGUAGCAGUACACCCCACACGGGGUCAGGAAGGCCAUAUUCUCCACGUCUUCUACCGCCAUCUUGAUUUGGUGAUAUCUUGAGAACACAUCCAGGAAGCAUAGCAAGUCGCACUCGGCGAUGGAGUCGACGAUCUGGUCGAUGCGUGGAAGCGGGAACGGAUAUUGGGGGUAGGCCUUGUUGAGGUUGGUGAAGUCGACACACAUCCGCUGCUUCCCGCCUUUCUUGGGGACACCGACGGGGUUUGUCGUGGGUUUGUCACGGCAGAUGUCCUCAUGAAAGGACUUAGUCGUGGAGCCAUCGCAACGGGUUAGCUUAAAGGGGUUAAACCGGACAAGGGACAUGGGGGAUUUUAUACUAGUUCGGCCCCUUCGAUGAAGGUAAAGCCUACGUCUAGUUGUGAUUGGUAUUGCUAGGGUUUCGAUGACCAGGGAGCGAACGUGCUUUGCCUGGCUCUUGAGUUGUUGUCUGUCGUCCCUAAACCGCGGCCGGGUCGUCCCUUUAUAUACAUAGGUUGACGCCCGCCGGUUUACAGAGCCCCGAGGCCGGAUCAUAAACGUGUCCGGCUCGGUCUCUAUUCCUUCUAACUUACAAUACAAGUUACAUGAAAGAGUCGGUUUACAUCUACAGGCCUUAACCCGCCUUUGGACCUUGGGCCUUCGUAAAGCGCCACCAUUCUCACGUCUUCAUGGGCUUCUAUAUUCAUGGAAUUAACCCGGCCACUCCUAGCCGGUUUACCUCCAGUAGUCAUAUCCCCAACAUUAGGCCCCAGAUUGAUUUGAACUUGUUCAUGUUAAUCUUCAAUACUUAGAAAAAUUCUUGCCCUGGUACCCUUGCAUGAAUCUGGUAAACCGCCGUGAUGUCAUCCUUCAGUUCCGUGGUAAACCAUCCUGACGUCAUCUAUUCGUUGAAACCAAAGAUUCCCUUCAUUAAUGUAUAUCCAACCAUCGAGGCGACACCCUUAUUAACUAUCCAUUUUUGAGAUCCUCGAUUCCCGCACUUGUCGCUUUAUCGCUUCACCUUAUAAAUAGGACCACAUGUCCUUCUCCUUUUCCCCUUCGUCUCCUUCACUUCUUCUUCCUCAUCGCGACAUCUCUGCCCCUGAGCGCCGCCGCCGUCACCGAGCUUCACUUCUGCUUCAACAAAGGCCGCUGCAUCAACCUGACCGUACCAGAGAAACGCGGUGAUCCUCCGCUGCUUCCUACUGCACCAGUAAGUUCCUCUUCUCCUCCCCCAGAUCCGCCAUUAGGGUUCAGUGUUCUUCAUAGCUUGAAGCUGUUCUUCCUUUAGUAAUACCAAUGGCCAGUUAGAUCUGAUUGUUUUCAGCGCCUUUUUGUAGUUUAAACUCCUUUCUUCUUGUUAAGGCAUCUGCUUGCUAUCAAACUCAUCUGAACAUACUGAACCUUUUGAGCACUUGAUAUUAGACCAGAAUAUAUUUUGAUUAUCCAACGCACGGUAGAUCUAAAACUCCCAUGCCAAACUGUGAGAUCUAUUUUAACUUGCUUAGCCCUUUUUUGCCUUAGAUCUGUCCCCUCCACAUGACAUAGACGGUUUACCUUUGUAAAGGGUAAUCUAUUAUAUACCACUAGCAAAAGGGCCCGUGCAUUGCACCGGGUAGAAAACAAAAAAAAUGUAAGCACUCGUCCUGCUUAAAACCACUAUAUUGGCCUUUUUUCCAUGGUAUUAAUGUAGAAUGGAAUAUAAGUUGGUGAAGAAGUUAUCCAAAAAGUACGUCCUUUUAUCAAGAAGUAUGAUGCAAUGAAAGUUAUUCAUUAUCCAGAAGUAUGAUGCAACAAAAGCUAAGAAUUAGAUGGUUAAUAACUCCCAUCUCGCCAAGCAGCAUACAUGACCAUGGAUGUGAUAGAAAACAUUAAAAGUUAAGAAAACUACCGUUCUGCAGAAUAAUAGGCCAUAGCCAUCACGGUAGUCUAGUUAAGAUUUUCAUUGAAACUGAAGCAAUUAUUGAAUAGAGCAAAUAAAGAGCAAGAACCAUGCAAAGCUUAUCACUUGACUAUAUCAUUAUUUUUUUAACCAACAAACAGUAUGAUGACUACUAUGUAAUCACUUUCUGCACAUUUUUGGGUUAUCUCUAACAGCGGACUAUGUAAAAGUACUUCCUUUGUGCAAGACGGAGCUGCAGCUGGGUUGCACUUCCAAGUUUCACCACGUUCAAGCUUGCAUAAUCUCCAUUUGCAAUCAUAGUAUAUCAUCCAUAGAACCAUUGAAGUUUUCCACUUUUCUUCAUUAUGAGACUCAGUAUAGUUUAUCCUAUUAUUUGUUAUGCCUUCGAAUCCCAUGACAAAACACUUUCUCACAUCCUUUCGUGUUUACCCAAAUACAUUCGGUCAGAACCUAGGAAAUGAUAUUAAUAAUCUGAUAUACAAUUCAAAACAGUGAAAAAACUAUUCAAUUGAAAUAAAUAAGUGUUAGCACACGCUGUCUUUUUUAACAUCUCGUCUCUACUAAGCUUGGUUGUAAGGUAAUAGCUCGAGGAAAACUGAAUCAGCAAGCCAUAUUUAGAUUUGGCACAUCUAGCACAAAAACUAUGAAUACUGUCAGAAUAUCUAUCAACAUCCAGACCAAACAGCAUCAGAUGGCGAGAACCAUUUGUUCAAAAAGUCCAAGGGAGAAGGAAGCGGGGAAUUAAAUAGGACUAAUAGGCAACAUGUUAAUUAGAGUUCCCAUGUAACAUGUGAUUUUUUUUGUAUAUAUUCUGAGUGUUAAAAUAAGCCCUACCAAAUAGAGGGUUCAGAAUUGUUUGUCUUAGAUGAGCAUUGGAAUUUCGUAAGGUUGGCUAAUCAAUAUAGGUAGAAUGCAACUGAUGAAAAUUCAACUUCAUGUAGAAUGCAACCAAACAACUUCAUGGACCCAUUUGUUUUCAUUUUCAUUAUUAAUAAAUAAUACACACAUGUACGUAUUAUAUAUUAUUAUGCAGAUUCUUUUCCUUAGGAAAACUGCAAUGGUCUAGCAUCUAUAAUCCCUAGAGAAUUCCAAUGGUAUAGCUUCCAUAUCUUAUCAGCCAAUUUCAUAUUUUGGUUCAAAUAUGAUAAGCACUUCAAACUGCUUUUAUCUUAAUUGAAAAUGAUCCCUCCCCCAGUCCACGUCCUCUAUUUUAUCAGCACCCCUUCCGUCCAUCUUUCCGCCCUUGCCGAAGAUGGUUGUUUUGUCCACCUGGUCACAAGCGAGUAGACGUGAUCCAUUCAAGGUGAUGAGCUUGGCCACCUCAUGACACGUAUCACUGAACCGUGCAGGGCAAUGGGAUGUUUCAACUUAUCUCUUGAUCUGACCACCCUCACUACCUUAUACUUUGGCCAGCUUUGACCGUGAACUUGUCUUAUGGGAGGGCAGGUCCUGCUCGUGUCCCCGCAUACCACCUUGACCUUCCCAACCACAUGCUCGAUCGCAACUAAUAUGUAUAUAAUAAAAGGACACAUUAGAUGGCUAUCAGUAGUGAACGUUAGGUAAGAAAUAUCAUCGCCCAUGCUUUCGUACAGAGCAAACACCAACUGCGAAAUAACUAUAGUGAAAAUUACAUAAUUUGUACAGAAAGAUUAUUUCAAUCUAUUUGAAACUAAAAUACACAUGAGAAAACAAUCAUGUGCGAGCACAAAAUAUCUUAGACCCAGAAAGGGAACCUGAUACUAAUGAUGUUCUCAGUAUAUAUCAGACCAUCUCAUCGAUUACACAGUGUGUUCUCUCUCUGGAUGCAGGUGAGACAAAUGUUCAAGUUCACAUAUAGAUUUCGUAUUGGAAUUGAUGUAUAUACAAAUAUGUGCUAUGCAUUUUGGUUGCACUCAAAGAGGGAUCACCGUUCUGCUAUAUACGUUGCAGUCUUCGAGUUGUGAAAUCAUGCACAUACUUCUUCAAAACAAAAGUAGUACUCAAGGUCUGAAUUCAUUUUCAAAGAGCAAAUCACAUGCUGGAGUACAUCUUUGCACCCAAACCGUACACGUUCCAGUUGUGGAGUUCAGAAGGCUACGGACAAACAAACACAAAUCAACACCCCUUUUACUGAAUCAAUUAACGCAAGCUGGCCAUGCUACAUGCAGGAGGGAAUAAGAUCAGUUACAUGGGGAUCGCCCUGGUGACACACAAAUACGUAAUCUUGGUUAGGAGCUCCAUGAUAUGGUGGCCCUUGCCGUAGAGGAACAUGUACACCACUGCGCCCAGGAGUCACUCCAUCACAUCAAGGCACACCCCCAUGCAUAUCCUGAAAGACGAACUUUAUGUCAGAAUAUCAUGAGUAAGAAUAAUCAUGUAGAACACAAAUACUCAAAAAAGUAGUAGGAAAACAUUAAUUGUUUUACUCAUGAGGAUACCUAAAGUUUUCUUGGACACGGUAGCUGCUGCCGGCAACCUUGAGGUGACCUAACAAUGAUCCUAACCUUUAUGCUCUCUACUUUUUCGAAAUCAAUUGAAAAAAUUACCACUGUGUACCAGGAGAGCAACAGACACCUGGAGAAUUAAUUGACUCAUGAGUACGUAUGGGCAGGAAUUUUUGGCACCACUGUUGCAAGCAGCCCUUCAGGCCAUGCUAGGAAGACAUCGCCUGCAUGUCCUAAAGAAUGCAUUAGGAGUUUGGCUUAUGAUUUGGCGGCGCAUCUGUCUAGCGCUAUGGCCGUCCUAGCUGUGCAAAACGGAAUCUUCCGAGGAAGUUGGACACCAUGUUAGUAAUCAAGCAAGUCAUAGCCACAAUCACCAAUGUAAAGUUAAUCAUAGCUCACAUUGCAACCGACAUGAUCGCCUUUCCUCUCUGUAUUCCUCGAGUGUGGACCACGACCACUAUUAGACGCCGGCUACGCGCGGUCGCGCCACACAGUUACAAUAUCCUUCCGCACCAGGAACAGUGCCUUCCAACGUGCCAUAGAAUCUCUACGACAGCUCACGGCUUGUUGUGUUCCCCCUCCGCCCUCUCCUCCCCAACCUCCUCCUUGUUGCCUUCCCUGAUCAGGGCCUCCAGCGGCCAACGUUCAGCUCCUUCCGUGGAAGCUCCAGUUAUUCAAGUUCACGACCACUUCAUGCAACACAUGCACCGAGCCACCGACGACUCUUGUCGCGACACUGGUGGCGAGAAGAAUGAUGUCGGCGCCCGCCACAGUUAGAAUACUACCAACGACGACGAAGCGGGGCCGAACGCACGCACCCCACAUAAAGGUAGCCUGCUCCCGUCAGAUUGUUCAUGUCAAUGAUGUCACCCCUGCCUGCCACUGCAACCGUGCAGCUUGUUCUUGUGGCCAUCGUUGGUUCAACUUCGAUCAACACAGCAGGGAUGUUGCUCCCGUCUUCGGCAAAGCUGUCGGUAGCUUUAGGUUUUCAAGCCUGCCACAGUUAGAACACCACCAACGACGACGAUGCGGGGCGCACCCCAGAUAGAGGUAGCCUCGGUCUGUGGAAGGCCAAAGGCGUCCCUGUCGAAGUGCCGCUCACUCCAUGGGUGCGUGCGUGCUCGAGGAGAGUUUGUGUCGGAGGAGGUGAUGGGCGCAGGAAGGAUUAGACAGAAGAUGAUGUUUCCGGAUCAAAAGAGGAAGGACUUGAUCGAAUAGGAAGGAGAUCGGGACUGUCCUAGCACCGGAACGUGAUCGUGAUAGAAAGGGAGAAGAUCAGCAAUAGCGAUGGAGAUCGAGUCGGACCCGGCAGCGUAUCUCUUUGGUGGGCUAAGGCCCAAGUAACAGGCAGCCUAGUCGGCAGCGUACUUCUUUGGACCGAGCCCAUGCAACGAAACUAACGAAUCUAGGAGCUACGUAAGCGAUUUUGGUGUGACAUAACGACAGACCGACCGCGGAGCAAUAGUACCACCUUGGAUGUAAAAAAUAAUAUAGGUGAAAAUACUGAAAGCGUAAAUCCAUAGAAAGAAAGCGUAUUGUGACAACGGACCCACGAAGUCAAUCCAUGCUUUAUUAUUAGGGAAAGAUUAGUCCCCUCGUAAACCGGCAGUCCCCUUGUCUUCGUCAUCAUACUCCGGUUUAAAUAGUAUAUGUACACCUCUGCUUCUACUUAUUGCUGUCAUUUGUAAUAGUAUCAGCCUCCGGUUUACCAAUUCUAUAUAUUUGGAUUCUUUGUUUUAUUGUACCUUAUGCAUCACUGUGAAUAAAUUGUAAACCGGUAUUUCCUUUCAGCUUUUCAUCUGUAAUGACAAAGCAGUUUUAUUCCUGCAACUGGGUCCCCUCUCGGAUUACGGAAGAGCAACUGAAUGGAAUGGUCCGGAUUGGCACUCUACCAAAGAAGAAUGAAAUCCGGUGGCGUGCUCCUGGACCUGAAAAUCCUCCCACCCCUAAGUAGGGUGAGGUAGUAGUGUUUGUUGACCAUAUAGGUCGUGGCUUUAAACCGCCAGGCUCAAAGUUUUUCCGAGAUGUUCUUGCCAGCCUUCAACUCCACCCUCAAGAUAUUGGACUCAACUCGGUGUCCAAUAUAUGUAACUUUUAAGUGUUCUGUGAAGUGUACCUACAAGAGGAGCCAACAAUUGAUCUGUUCCGGGAUUUCUUUCACCUGAACCGGCGCACUGGAUUCGCAGAUGGCCCCAAUACUGAACUCGGCGGCAUCACCAUUCAGAAAAGGAAAGAGGUUGAGUUUCCUCAUGCCAAGCUGCACAGUCACCCAAAAGAAUGGAAUCAAACCUGGUUCUAUUGUAAAGACACCUCCCCUGAAGAUGAGAACCCUCUGCCGGGUUACCGUGCCCACCGGCUUGCCAAUAAUCAUCCACUUCUGCAACGGAUAAGUGCCCAGGAACGGGCACAGUAUGCACCUCAACUUGCCAAACUGAGAGCCUUCCUUGCCAACGGCUUAACCGGAGUAGACUUUGUCCGUUGCUGGAUAUCCUGGAGUAUCUUACCGUUAAGUCGCCGCUUCGGCUUAAUGUGCGAGUACACUGGUAACGUUGAAGAUUCCCAACGACAUAUCAAUAUCCAGCUAACAGAUGAAGAAGUCACUGAAGCUGUUAAGAAGAUCCUGAAUGAACCAGAAACUACUUGUCGCCAAACCGGACUAGUCCCCUUUUAUACUCAAAACAGGUCGCCCACUGUAAGUAUUAUUCAUCCGCUUUACCCUUUAUCUCUUUAGACUGCACAAUCCUUUGCAUACCUAUCCUUUUAUUUUUAAACAGGGUGAUGAUCCAUUCUGGAAGAAGAAACCUCAAGAGAAAGCGGGAAAAACUUCCCGCCCUAAAACCAAAGCUGUUAAGAAGACCACAAAGCGGAAAGCCCCUAAACGCAUUAGCAUGGAACUGGACGAGCCAGAUGAACCGGAAAUUGACACUGCUGCUGAGGUAGAACUUGAUUCACUUGGUUCCCUUUUCAUGCAUUUCAUUGACAAUGAUACUUAUCAGGAGGACGUUGAAGGCAGUCAAGCUGAUGAUGCAGAGGUAAUUAUCCUUUCCUCCGGUUCAGACUCUAUGCCAACACAAAAAGUCCGUCAAGCAGUCCAGAAAGUAAGCUUUUCUCAUCCUCUUGCUCACAUGGACCCAACAUUUAUUUUGAAGAUGCAGCAGCACGAAGCUCGCGGCACCACCCGGCACAGCGGCCAAAAGGUCACUUCGGCCAGUUUACCUGACACCCCGGUUCAAAAGCGCCAAUCUGAGGUCUCACCCUCUUCCGACAAUUCUUAUCCCAAGGCAGGUUACUUUCAACAACCCCUUAAUCCAUCCGAUUCCAAUUACCAGGUGACUCCUCCCUCAUCCUCUGACGAGUCAAUAGCGACCGAACUCCCUCCCCUUAAGACCGUAGCUGGGUAAAUGUGUUAUCCCUUUCUCUUGAUGUUUUAUACUUUAUAUGUUGUGCUUAACUUUUCACCUCUUUUUGUAUUUGUAGAGCUAAAGCUAGACCCAGCAAAAAGGCUCGGGCUAACAAUCUGCCUGAACAUCAAGUGGUUCUUGAACCGGAGCAGACGGUUGAACCGGAACAAGCGGUUGAACCAGAGGGCCUAAAUCCUGAAGCUGUCUUCGAUGAGCCACCCCUUCAAGAUCCCAAUAUCAAUGAACACCCAGAGGCCGACAUUGCUUUGCCUGAUGCUGUACCGGCAGACCCAAUCCGGGCUGAUGAUAGGUCUUCUAGUCCGGUGAAAACCACUGACACCCCAUCAACUCCAGAAAGGGAUGCCAAGGAUAAAGAAAGCGAUGUUAUCAUUACCGGUAUGGGCCACAACUCUCCUGGCCAUCCUGUAAUCUUGGCCAAACAUAGUGCCAAGGGAGAGCGCAUUGCCAUGGAAAAAGGCAAAUGGCGCACUGAUUUGUCAAGCUACGCCCAUCUCAGCACUGAAGAACUCCACUCCGGCUUUCUAAACCGUUUGCACUCAAACCGGGAUUAUGAAGACGGUUUGGUGAACCUAAUGAAAGAACGCUAUGAGGUAUUCCCAUCCUUUUUCCUUUCUUGAUUCCAAAGUAUAAACAUAAGCCCUAGUAGCCCCCAAGGGCCGGCUUAUGAUAUUAAUCGUAAGCCGGGACUUUGUGAUAUCUGAAUUCAUACAUGCUGAUCCUCCAUAUGUCAAGUCAUCGUUUAACAACAAACCGGUAAUUUAUCAUUGUACUCAUGUAGUUUUCAUCGGUGUAGCCCCCAAGGGUCGGUUUAGCUUUGCGAGGUAAACCGGGUCUUGAAUUAAUAUGUCAACUUUGAACAGAUGUACAUUUAGCCCCCAAGUGUUAAGAAUAAUGCUUGCAUUGUACUUGAGACUUGUGAAAAAAUUUGUUGAUGAUAGAGAAAAUAAGCAUUAGCCCCCAAGUACAAAGUGCAUAACUUGUUAUACGCUUGGUACUUCAUAACCUGUUUCUGAUGACACAGCUCACCUUUGUAGGCUGAGCUGAAUAAGAAGGAUGCUCAAACCGUAGACCUUCAGGAAAACAUCAAGACUCAGCAAACAGAGGCUGCCAAAGCCAAAGAAGAGCUGACCAACGCUUUAGCAGCUAUGGAGAAGCUGAAAGCAACUUUUGAUAAAGAGCAUGCAGCUUGGGAGACAAAGAAAGCCGGUUUAACAAAGAAGGCUGAGGACGCAGAAGCAGCCCUGAAGCCGGUGGUUGACGAACUGACCGGCUUGAAGCGGCAAAUUGACGCCAUGACCUCCGCCGUGUUUGGUAAGUACCUCCUUGCUCAGUUUGCCUAAGUCAUAAGAUCUUAUCAUCGACCGAUUUACUGACGUUCAACAAUGACAGGGACCCGCAUUGCGCAUCUGGGCUCAGACAUGCGGAUGAAACUUAAAGCGGCCUAUACCUUAAUAGAGCAACUGUUCUCAGGAUCCCAACAUGCCAUUUGCACUGCAGCCUAUAACAAACCGGCGCCUUCGUUGAUAAAGGAGACAAUUGAGAAACUGGCCAUGCUACCUGGCCGGAUCAACGAACUGAAGAAAUCAGCCGCAAGAUCAGGAGCGCUGACCGCCCUAAUCCAGGCCAAGGCAUGGAUUCCAGAUCUUGAACCGGCAGAUAUCACUAACGGGUAUCCUGGCGUGAAAGAAGAUGGCUCAGAUUUUAACAAUGAUGAUCUGCGAAGGCUGACAAAGGAGAUGCGGCCAAUAGCGAGCAAACUGGCUGAGGACACAUAUUUAUCUCACUUCCAACCGGUUUAUGAUGCUGAGGGAAAGAGGCAGCCCACAGAGGUCCGCGAUGUUGAAGAUCUUGUGCCUCCAAUUCGUAAGCAUACUUACGCUCCUGACAUUGACCCCUCCAGCCUUAUCCAUGAAGAGGCCGUGUUUCAAGCUUUAACUGGAAUCGAUUGGUCGACGGUUGAUUUCCAGCGUCUGGGAAGGGAUGAAGAGGAUAUAGCUGCGCAAGAUGAUCCGCAAUCUUCAAGCCGUCCCCAUGAAGAAUCCUAAACCGGCAUAAUUGGUCAACGGUUUACGAACUUUAGUCUACUACUUCUUGAAAACAAUUAUUCAAUUUGGGCCAUUUUGAAACGCUUUGUAAUAGGAUAGCAGAAACACCUUUGUCUGCCAUGCCAUCGAGCAUGCUUGGGUUGCUUGAUACCUUGAAAACUUGUUUAACUUUUGCGAUCUAUUUAUGCAUAGUCCAUUACGAUUUGUGUUCCUGCAUGCAAUAAAUUGAAAGCGUCCUAGUGGUUUACCACUGGACGGGUCAUGAUGCCCAAAAAUGUAUACAUAACUUGGAUGAAUAACCAAGAUUUGUAUUAAUCAGAUAAAAUGAAUGAUAUCUGUGACAUACCUCGUUGGCUGACCAACUGCUUGUAUGGUAAUGGUGAAAAGCACCAAUCCAGAGUGUUGAUAACUCCUUGCCCUCUUGCCGGUUCAUACAGAAACCAUAUUGGGUUAUAAUAGCCGUAUAAUACUAGUGACAUAUAGUCAAAACCAGACUGGAGAAAUAUACUACCGGUUUAAAACUGAUCAUGUACUAACAACUAAUCAUUGAAAGUCAUGCCGGGUUGUAAUGAACACCGUUUUAUCAGAAAUAUACAGAAAUCCCUUAGCAAAAAAGAUAUAAAAAUGGCUAAUCAAAAAGAAAUAUACAAGGCUUUUUAUGGGCUGCCAGGCCCUAAAUCGAGGCUUUUCAUGGGCUGCCAGGCCGCCGAGUUAAACCAUUUUGCAAAGCCUUUUAAGAUGGAACUCAAUCUUUAACCAAUCAUCGUUUUAACUUUGACAAGUUCAGGGCCCAUGGGAUUAACUUGUCAAAUGUUCGAUGGGUCAUACGAGGUUUACCUGGACGGAGUGGCUUACUUAAAGAGGCAGGCUAACCCGGGGUUUUAGAUGUGUACAUCUGGCUUCCAAGCCUGGCUUGAUAGCCUAUUACAAGGGUGCAAGCUCAUUGUUCUUUGAGAAGCAAGGAGCCCCCAGGUAAUAUUUGAGCUGUGCUCAGUGGUUACCUAUGUUUGAGCUGUGCUUAAUACAUCAGACUUUCUUUGGUUCCACAUAAUUUCCUUUUGGCUUGAAGCCUAUCAAGAGGUGUAGUUAUGGUCUAAAUACAACCAAGCCCCCUAGUGAUAUCCCUUUUUGGUUUUAAACCAAUCAAGAGGCGUAGCUAUGGUUCGGAUACGACCAAGCCCCCUAGUGACUUUCCUUAUAUCUGUGUGGCUGUAUUGGCCGGGUUAAUAAAACGCCGCUUUGACAAGAAAAGCUCCUGUAGGCUCACACAUGAUUUAAAAAAGAACAGAGACCCCGCUGUAUUCGAGGCUCUGGUUUAUUAUAUAAUAUAUACAUUGUCAUAAAUAUGUACAUAAGAAGAGCCUGUGGCUCAAGUAUAGUAAGGCCGAAGAAGAGCUAUAUUCCACGGCCGGUUGGUCUCCUCCUCUGAUUUACGUGAGUCUUUAUGCUCUCGAACAUCAAUGAGGUAGUAUGACCCGUUGUGCAGAUUUUUGCUGACCACAAAAGGUCCUUCCCAAGGUGGGGAUAACUUGUGCAUAUCAGUCUGAUCCUGGAUGAGCUGGAGCACCAGAUCACCCUCUUGAAAAGUUCUGGUCUUAACCCGGCGGCUGUGAUAACGUCGGAGAUCUUGUUGAUAAAUCGCCAGACAUGCUGCGGUGAGAUCACGCUGUUCAUCUAACAGGUCCAGUGAGUCCUGACGUGCCUUCUCAUUAUCAGCUUCAGCAUAGGCCGCCACACUGGGCGAGUCAUGACGGAUGUCACUAGGAAGAACCGCCUCUACUCCAUAAACCAUGAAGAAAGGCGUGUAACCCGUAGAUCUGUUAGGUGUGGUACUGAUGCUCCAUAACACAGAAGGUAACUCUUCCACCCAACAACCCGGUGUCCGCUUUAAAGGAACCAUAAGUCGGGGUUUAAUACCUCUCAAAGUUUCUUGGUUCACCCUCUCUGCUUGACCAUUUGACUGGGGGUGAGCCACUGAUGCUAUAUCAAGCCAGAUGUGCUCACGUUGGCAAAAUUCCUCCAUCUCACCCUUUGACAGAUUAGUACCAUUAUCAGUUAUAAUACUGUGUGGAAAACCAAACCGGAAUAUCACCUUUUUGAUGAAUUGAACCGCCAUGGCUGCAUCACACUUACUGACUGGUUCUGCUUCCACCCACUUGGUAAACUUGUUGGCUGCCACUAACAGGUGGGUCUUUUUGUCCUUGGAUCUCUUAAAGGGUCCAACCAUAUCAAGCUCCCAAGUUGCAAAUGGCCAAGUUAUUGGAAUCAUCCUCAAUUCCUGAGCUGGAACAUGAGCGUGGCAUGCAAAUUUUUGACAACCGUCACACCUUUUGACUAAAUCCUCAGCAUUAGCAUGGGCUGUCAACCAAUAGAAACCGUGACGAAAGGCCUUGGCCACCAAGGAUUUUGAACCGGCGUGGUGACCACAAUCUCCUUCGUGGAUUUCGCGCAAGAUCUCACAACCCUCUUGAGGAGACACACAACGCUGAAUUGCUCCUAUGGCGCUGUAAUGAUGUAGCUCCCCAUUGAUGAUGGCCAUUGACUUGGAAUGCCGGAUUAUCUGCCAGGCCAAGGUUUCGUUCUCCGGUAACUCGCCCCGGUUGAUGUAAACCAAGUACGGGACUGUCCAAUCCGGUCUAACAUGCAAAGCUGCCACCAAUUGGGCCUCCGGGUCAGGAAUGGUCAACUCCUCCUAUGUUGGUAUCUUGACCGACGGAGUAUGUAAUACGUCAAGGAAGACAUUAGGUGGGACCAGUUUACGCUGAGGACCAAGGCGACUUAAAGCGUCUGCCGCUCCAUUCUUGCACCGGCCUAUAUGGUCAACUUGAUAACCCUUGAAAUGACCAGCCACAACAUCAACCUCUCGUCGAUAUGCAGCCAUGAGUCGGUCCUUAGAAUCCCAAGUACCAGAUACCUGCUCAACCACCAGGUCCGAGUCACCGAAGCACUUAACCCGGCUUAAGUUCAUCUCUUUAGCCAUCCGAAAACCAUGGAGUAAGGCCUUGUACUCAGCUGCAUUGCUAGUACAAGGGAACAUUAAGCGAAGUACAUAACAAAACUUGUCACCUCGUGGGGAAGUUAAUAUGACUCCAGCCCCCGAGCCUUCCAAUUGUCUGGACCCAUCAAAGUGAAUAGUCCAAUAAGUGUUAUCUGGCUUUUCCUCUGGUGCCUGCAACUCUGUCCAAUCAUUGAUGAAGUCCAUGAGUGCUUGUGAUUUGAUUGCUGUGCGAGGUGUAUACUUGAGCCCGUGAGGUCCAAGCUCAAUGGCCCACUUUGCAAUCCGGCCAGUUGCUUCCCUGUUUUGAAUGAUAUCUCCCAGAGGGGCUGAACUGACCACUGUGAUAGGAUGACCCUAAAAAUAAUGCUUGAGCUUCCGGCUUGCCAUAAACACCCCAUAUGCCAGCUUCUGCCAAUGUGGAUACCUCUGCUUUGAUUCGAUAAGCACCUCGCUGAUAUAAUAAACCGGCCGUUGAACCGGAUACUCCUUUCCAGUCUCCUUGCGGUCUACCACAAUAGCCACACUAAUAUCCCGGGCAUUAGCAACCACAUAUAGCAGUAAAGGCUCCUUAUCAAUCGGAGCUGCAAGGACAGGCGGUUCAGCUAACUGCCUCUUCAACUCCUCAAACGCUUUAUCAGCCGCAUCACUCCAGACAAAGUUAUCCGUUUUCUUCAGCAUCUUAUAUAAAGGGAUAGCUUUCUCCCCGAGACGACUGAUAAACCGGCUCAACGCCGUAAUUCGACUGGCUAAACGUUGAACAUCAUUGAUGCACGCCGGUUUAGCCAAGGAUGUGAUUGCUGAAAUCUUUUCCGGGUUAGCCUCAAUGCCCCUGUUUGACACCAGAAAACCCAGGAGCUUGCCAGCUGGAACGCCAAAGACACAUUUGUCCGGAUUAAGCAUCAUCUUAUAAACCCGGAGGUUGUCAAAAGUGUCCCUCAAGUCAUCUAUCAAUGUUUCCUCCUUCUUGGACUUCACCACAAUAUCAUCCACAUAUGCAUGAACAUUACGCCCGAUCUGUUUGUGAAGACAAUUCUGAACACAACGCUAAUAAGUCGCCUGGGCACUCUUGAGCCCAAAGGGCAUGGAGACAUAGCAGAAGGAUCCAAAGGGAGUUAUAAAAGCUAUCUUCUCCUGGUCCUUAACUGCCAUUUUGAUAUGAUGAUAACUAGAGUAAGCAUCCAGAAAACACAAACGGUCACAACCCGUCGUAGCAUCAAUAAUCUGAUCAAUACGGGGAAGGGCAAAGGGAUCUGCUGGACAAGCCUUGUUCAAAUCAGUGUAAUCCACACACAUACGCCAAGUGCCAUUUUUCUUAAGAACCAGCACCGCAUUAGCCAGCCACUCUGGAUGAAAAACCUCCACAAUAAACCCUGCGGCUAAAAGCCGAGCUACCUCCUCACCAAUAGCCUUACACCUUUCUUCAUUGAAACGGCGAAGAAACUGCCUCACCGGUUUAAACUUAGGAUCUAUAUUAAGUGUGUGCUCAGCGAGUUCCCUCGGUACACCUGGCAUGUCAGAAGGCUUCCAUGCAAAGAUGUCCCGGUUCUCACGGAUGAACUUGAUGAGCGCGCUUUCCUAUUUGGGAUCCAAGUUUGCGCUGAUGCUGAACUACUUGGACGAAUCACCAGGAACAAAAUCAACCAUCUUAGUGUCUGUAGCCGACUUAAACUUCAACGUUGGAUCAUGCUAUGUAGUUGGUUUUUUCAAAGAGGUCAUGUCUGCCGGAUCAACCUGGUCCUUAUAAAACUUCAGCUCCUCUGUAGCACAAACCGACUCAGCAUAAGCCGCAUCUCCCUCUUCACACUCCAAUGCAAUCUUCCUGCUCCCAUGUACUGGGAUGGUCCCCUUAUGACCCGGCAUCUUAAGCUGCAAAUAAACAUAGCAUGGCCUUGCCAUGAACUUGGCAUAAACCGGCCGUCCGAACAGGGCAUGAUAUGGACUCUUGAUUUUCACUACCUCAAAAGUCAACGUCUCUGACCUUGAAUCAUAAUCAUCUCCAAAAGCCACUUCCAGGGCUAUCUUGCCAACUGGGUACGCCAAUUUACCAGGCACCACUCCAUGAAAGACCGUAUUCGACGGUUUAAGAUUCUUAUUUGUCAACCCCAUGCGGCGGAAGGUAUCAUAGUAAAUGAUAUUGAUACUGCUUCCCCCAUCCAUAAGCACCUUGGUGAACUUAUACCCCCCAACUUGAGGUGCCACCACUAAGGCCAGAUGACCCGAAUUGUCAACCCGGGGAGGGUGAUCCUCUCGACUCCAUAAAAUUGGUUGUUUAGACCAGCGCAAACACUGGGGAACUACCGAUUCAACAGAAUUCACGGCCCUUUUGUGCAGUUUCUGAUCACGUUUACACAAGCUAGUGGUGAAGACAUGAUACUGCACACUAUUCAACUGCUUCGGAUGGCUCUGAUAACCCGACUGUUGCUGUUGCUGAUUUCCUUGAUGGCUGUACCCUCCCUGAUUACCCUGAUUACCUUGAUUACCAUGCCCGGUUUGAUUGCCCUGGAACCCUGAACCGGAACUGCUACCUCCAUAACCCGGGCCAUGGAAACCUCCUCCUGAACCGCUAGGAGGGCCAUUGUCAUAUUGAAAUUGAUUGGAAUUUUUGAACUCUCGCAUAAUGCAACAAUCCUUCCAAAGAUGUGAAGCUGGCCUCUCCUUCGAUCCAUGUUUUGGGAAAGGAUGAUUUAGCAGGCGUUCCAGAUUGGGACCUAACCCUCCACCCCGCUAGGGCUGCUUACCCUUGCGACACUGACCGUUAUCCUGAGCAUUAGUAUUAGCCACAAAGUCCAAACUGUUAUCUGCCUUGCGCUUACCAUUGUUCCCCUGCCCUGCCGGAUUAUGCUGUUGCCCCUUGGCCCCGCCGUUCUUUUUCCCUUUCCCCGGUUUGUCCUCCUCCGACUCAGGGUCUUUGGUACUGUCUGAAUCGACAUACUUCACCAAAGAGGCCAUGAGGGUUGACAUGUCAUUGCAAUGACGUUUGAGCCUUCCUAACUUCAACUUCAAUGGCAUAAACCGGCAAUUACCUUCCAACGUCAAAACUGCUGUAUCCGCAUUAAUGCGGUCCGACGAAUGCAGAAUAGCUGAGACUCGCUUCACCCAAUGGGUUGUGGACUCCCCAUCUUCGUGAACACAAGCGGCCAGGUCCACAAUUGACAUAGGCUGCUUACAAGUGUCUUUAAAAUUCUGGGCAAACCGAUAUUUCAACUCAGCCCAUGACCCAACAGAGUUGGCCGGUAAACUUUUUAGCCAAGUACGAGCUGUCCCCUCCAACAUCAUAGUGAAGUACUUAGCACACACCGCUUCAUCCACAUCCAGCAUCUCCAUUGCCAUCUCAUAACUCUCCACCCAUGACUCGGGAGGUAAAUCGGCAGUGUAAUUGGGUACCUUACGAGGGCCUUUAAACUCCUUGGGCAGUCGUACGUUACGCAAAGCGGGGGUGAGACACGGCACCCCUAAAGAACUGAAGACCACACCUGGCUCCACUGAAGUGGUAGGAUGAACUGGAGUGGGCCGGCGGGCCUCGUGUUGUGUUGCUAACUCGGCCUCUCGACGUGCACGACCAUGAUCCACCACAUCAUGCGCAUUAGCACCACCAGCCGGGUUAUGCCCUCGUGGCGAGUUACGGCGACGUGCGCUGCUUGACACGGCUGGUUCAUCCUCAAUGUGCUUGUUGUAACUCCGACUCGGACGAGGGGUGGAAUGAAUCCUAUCGCGACUAUGCGAGUAAGCCUGAUGUUGGUUUAAGGCUGUUUGAAGGAGCUCUCUGGCCCGUCGCAUCUCGAUCGCUACUAGCGACUCACCGUCAAUCGGGAGGGCUGCUAAUCGUGAAGCGGCAGCCACAAUGUUGUCCAACGGGUUGGAGUAAUGCCCUGAGGGUGUCGGAACAUGCUGUGGCACAAUGUUAUUCUGACGAGGCGGGUCCAUCACGCGUGGCUGAACCGGCGCCCCCCUUACCGGUGCCUCCGUCCGGUUUACGACUGGUUGGUUACUGGUUCCUGCUCCUGGCGUGUUGAAGAGAUUUCUUGCUUCGUAGUUCGGCGGAAGGUGUGACCGGUAUCUCCUCCUCAUGACAUCAUCCGAGGCAUUCUGAUCCAGCCUAAGCCGGUAAGCCUGAGUCUCCAACUCGGCCCGCUCAGUAGCCAUCCUGGCGUUCUCUGCUGCCAGGUCGACUUUAGCCUGAGCUAUGUGAUCUUUCACCUUUACAAUUUAUGCAUUAUGCUGAUCACGGUUGGCCACAUCAACCUCCGCUGCCAGCAACGUUGCCAAAGCGUCGAAGAAACCAGACAAAAUCUGAGCCGGAGGCGGCGCAGAGCCCCCUGCCCCUGCUGGUGUUGUUGUUGCUGAACCAGAGAUUACUGCUGCGGCGGUAGAAGAGGUAUGUGCUGGCUGUGUUCCGGCCAUGAAGAUCGCGACCCGGUUUGGCAGAUCGAGGGGGUCCAGAAUACUGUCGCCAUCGGAGCCUCCGCUAAUCCGGCCGUCCUGCAACUGAUACAGCGACUCGGUCUCACCGGUUGAAGACUCGUCAUCUGAGCAGACGACAGUUUGUCCAUCAGAUGCUAGUCCACCCUCGUACUCUGCCCCAUGGAUGACACCUACAAAAACAUGCCUUGCGGCGGGCUGAACCAGGGAAGGGCUCGCACGCUGAGCCGUCUCGAUGAUGUCGGUGCAGAUGUCCGGCUCAGGGCCCAAUUCGCCGAUUUUGCCGAUGAAGACGUGAAUCCCACAAAAGUGGACCCGAUAGCCGUAUUCGAUUGAACCGGCCUCAGGACCCCAUCCUGCAUCGUCGAUGUAGAGCUUGCCGCGACGACUCUUCGUCAUCCGGCCCACAGCGUAUCCCUUGAGUCCAUCAAAGCUGCCCUUCAAGAACUCGAAACCAUCAUGCGAUAGCCCCACGGUGGGCGCCAACUGUCGUGGGUUUGUCACGGCAGAUGUCCUCAUGAAAGGACUUAGUCGUGGAGCCAUCGCAACGGGUUAGCUUAAAGGGGUUAAACCAGACAAGGGACACGGGGGAUUUUAUACUAGUUCGGCCCCUUCGAUGAAGGUAAAUCCUACGUCUAGUUGUGAUUGGUAUUGCUAGGGUUUCGAUGACCAGGGAGCGAAUCCGCUUUGCCUGGCUCUCGAGUUGUUGUCUGUCGUCCCUAAACCGCGGUUGGGUCGUCCCUUUAUAUACAUAGGUUGACGCCCGCCGGUUUACAGAGCCUCGAGGCCGGAUCAUAAACGUGUCCGGCUCGGUCUCUAUUCCUUCUAACUUACAAUACAAGUUACAUGAAAGAGUCGGAUUACAUCUACAUGCCUUAACCCGCCUUUGGACCUUGGGCCUUCGUAAAGCGCCACCAUUCUCACGUCUUCAUGGGAUUCUAUAUUCAUGGAGUUAACUCGGCCACUCCUAGCCGGUUUACCUCCAGUAGUCAUAUCCCCAACAGGGUUGCCAGCCACUCGGGUUACCGAAUCUCGUGGAUGACACCCGCAGCCUCCAACUUGCGGGUUUCUUGGACGAUGAAAGCUUGCUUGUCCGUGGACUGCCGCCUUGCCUUCUGCUUCACAGGGCGUACGUUGGGGCACACCUUCAGGUGGUGCUCUAUUACCUCUCUUGGGACCCCUACCAGCUGAUCGGGCUCCCAGGCGAACACUCCCUUGUUUGCACGCAAAAACUUCACCAGCACCUCCUCCUGAGCAGGCUCGAGGUUGGCGCCUAUGGUAAAGGUUUUCCCUGAGGACUUGUCCUCCUCGACCAACACUUGCUUGGUUUCUGCCUUGGCCUGAGUGAAGAAUUGCUUCUUCUUGGUUGGCGUGGCUCCCUUGGCCUUGGAGGUAUCCGCGUCGGUGGGUCGUGCUGUCGCGGCGGCCUUGAGGGUGAACUUGAGCACCGCCAGGGCCUCCUUGGCGCCCCCCUUGAUGGUGAGGACACCCUGGCUCCCUGGCAUCUUCAUGAGAUUGUAAGCAGGAUGGGUUGCUGCCAUGAACUGGGCCAGAGCUGGGUACCCGAGGAUGGCGUUGUAUGGGAGGCCAAUGCGGGUGAUGUCGAAGUCGAUGAGCUCGGUGCAGUAGUUGUCGCACGUGCCGAAGGUCACGGGGAGGCGGAUCUGCCCCAGGGAGCGGGCCAAGCCUCCGCCAACUCCCGAGAACGGCUUGCUGGGGCGGAGCCGCUCGAACGGUACGUGCAGGAGGCUAAAGGCCUCGACGAAGAGCACAUUGAGGCCGGCGCCGCCGUCGACGAGCGUCUUGGUGAUGGAUACAUGGUAGAUGGUGGGUGCGCACAACAUCGGGAGCGCACCCAAGCCGAUGGUGGAGGUGGGAUGAUCCUCUGAGUCAAAGGUGAGGUCAGCCUCAGGCGUGGCCCAGCCGGGCGGAGCCCCCGGGCGCUUGGAAGCGACGCCGAUCUGGUGAAAGUACGGCUUGAUGUGCUGAUCUGAGGGUGGUGCUUGCGAACCGCUGAGAAGAGCUGCGAUGAUGGGGGCCGCUGGUUCCCUGAAGCGAAUGACGAAGAGGCCGCGCAGCUCCUCCCAGGUGGAGACAAAAGACUCUGGCAAGUGGAGGAGCCAGGCGCGCGGCGCGCCCACAAGGGCCAUUGGGGACUGGUUGGCCAUGACCUUAUCGUCGCCCCCGGCUUCCAGGACGGCCUCCUCGUAUGCUAACAGGAAAGCCGACGGGUCUGCUGCGCCGUCGUAGCGUGGCGGCAUCUCCGGCUUGAACUUGGGUGGCCACUGCACCUGCCACAAGGCGGGGGUAAGGGCUCGGAGCCCCCGAGCGCCACCGUGGGCGUCGGUAGAUCCAGCUGUAGGGGCGCCCGCCAUGGGGAGCGGGCGUGGAGAUGGUGGAGCGCGAGCCGACAGAAGGAAGACUCCGGCGCAUCCCUACUCCGGCAAAACCCUUAAGGUUUGAACACUUGGGUGCGCGUGAAGAUCUCCCCCCUAUCGAUCCGCGUCCUAACUUAGCCUAGAUCUCACGAACUAACUCGUCAAACUCGCAACACAAAGGACACAAGAUUUAUACUGUUUUAGGCCACCAUUGUGGUGUAAUACCAUACUCCAGUGUGGUGGUGGUGGAUUGCCUCUUGGUUGAGGAUGAAUAGUACAAGGGGAAGAACAUCCUCCUGAGGUUGAGGUGUUCUUGUGCUCGAUGAACUAGUGUGGCUAAGGAUGGACUUAAUGAUCCCUCCGUGCCUAUGGUGGUGGCUAAUCCUAUUUAUAGAGGCCCUGGUCCUCUCCCAAAAUAUUGAGCGGGAAGGGAGCCAACAAUGACCAAUUUGAAAAGGGACAACUAGUACAAGCUAUCCUGACAAAAGGUAGUCUUUGCCUGCCAAAGGUUCUGGUGGUGACGCCGUCCUGGGCUCCAUGGUGACCUCCGUCUUGCCGUCCUUCUGGUCUUGGUCUCAUUGCACCAAUAUGGAAACCUUUGCUUGAUGCCUCAAUACUCCGCGCCUGCACUUGCCCCCUUAGAACUAAAGAGGAAACAAGGACACCGCGCACGCUGGCGCCCGCCUGGUCUCGAUCGUCAUGGCUUAUGUCAUGAGAACCUCGCGAGGUUUGCCCGACCUUGAACUCUCCGCCCCUCACGAGCCAGCCUGGCGAGGCCGCUCCUGAGGAGGUCUUGUGUCAUCCGCCUCGCGAGGCUUGGCCCCUCACAAGGGUCUGGAUUCCAUGUUGAUGAAGAUGGGUCGUACAGGCCUGCUAGCAGAGCCAUGCCAUGGGCCGCAGGCAGGAAAGUCUGGGGACCCCCAUUCCCAGAACGCCGAUAGUGUGUCGGUCAUGUCUACAUAGUUCUCGAACCCGUAGGGUCCGCACGCUUAUCGUUCGUUGACGAUUUAGUAUUAUAUGAGUUAUGUGAUUUGGUGACAAAAUGUUGUUCGGAGUCCCGGAUGAGAUCACGGACAUGACGAGGAGUCUCGAAAUGGUCAAGAGUUAAAGAUGGAUAUAUAGGACAAUGGUAUUCGGACACCAGAAGUGUUCUGGAGGGUACCGAGUACUUAUCGGGUCAGCGGAAAGGAGUUUCGGGCACCCCCGAUAAAGAUAUGGACCUUAUGGGCCAAGUGAGGGAACACACCAGCCCUGGUGUGCCCCUAUAGAGGCCAGCCCUAUGAGGAGGAGAAGGAAAGAGGGCAGGGCAAGGAAAGUAUGGAUUAGGAUUCCUACUUCCUUCCCUCUCCCCCCUCUUUCCUUCCACCUCGGUUAUAUAUGGCAGGGAAGCGUGCAGGUUUGGGAGGGUGCUCAAGUAGGAUUCCUCCUACUUGGGGCGCCCCCUUGGCUGCUCCCUCGCCCUCCCACCUACAUAUAUGAGGGUGGAGGCGCCUAGAACACACAACAACAUCUAUUAGCCUUGUGCGGCGCCUCCCUCCAUAGAUUACACCCUUGGUCAUAUUCUCGCAGUGCUUAGGCGAAGCCCUGCGUGGAUCACUUCACCAUCACUGUCACCACGCCGUCAUGCUGACGGAACUCAUCUCCCUCGACACUUUGCUGGAUCAAGAGUUCGAGAGACGUCAUCGAGCUGAACGUGUGCAGAACUCGGAGGUGACAUACGUUCGGUGCUUGAUCGGUCGUAACGAGAAGAAGUUCGACUACAUCAACCGCAUUGUCAAACGCUUCCGCUUUGGUCUACAAGGGUACGCAGACAUACUCUCCCCUUCUUGUUGCUAUGCAUCUCCUAGAUAGAUCUUGCGUGAGUGUAGGAUUUUUUUUGAAAUUGCAUGCUACAUUUCCCAAUAGGAGAUACAAUCUUGGCUUGACAACCCAGAGCAAUUAGCGGCGACGGCGACAGCGAUGGCCAAAUAUUUGGAAAGAGCAAAAAUGAGGCGAUACACGAGGAGGGAGUCGCGCGGGAGUACAUAGAGCUCCUCCUCUGGGCCAUGGAGCAAACAGAUUCACCAGAUCCGAUUGUGAGGCUGCGGUGGUGGGAGUAUUGAUCCAAGAUGGAGCAUCCACCCAUGAUUGAAGGAUCGAGCAUAUACAUUGUGCUGUUUGUGAGGGUGUCGUGGCAGAGUGAGCUGGUGGAGUCUUCAUCGACGGAACCCAACUGCAAGAGGAGAAAAUAGUUGGCGCGACGUCGCUUCCUCGCCGUUCACCUCGCCCCACGGGGCGGCUGUCUGCCACCGUGGAAUAGGAGGGGACUCCCCCCCAAUUAGUUUGAGAAGGAGCUUAGGGUUGUCAGUAUUUACAGGUUGUGAAUUGUUUUUUGUGUUGUGUAUUUUGAGAGUACUUUCAGGUAUGAAUGUCUAUUGAAUUUCAAAUUUGCAGUAUUGAGCAUAUGAAGUAUUUUAUGAAUUCGAGAGAUCUAUUUUAGUACUUUAAAAAUGUAGUGUCAUAUAAAAGUGCAGACAAUGUGAUCCUUAGAGAAGAAACUACAAGUUUAAGUUUCAGAUAAGAAACUGCAAGUUUCAGAGGCAGAGCAUUUAUAUUAACAUGCCCUUUUCAAACAGGGAUGACAUCAUAUUGGAAGUUUUAUUCAUGGUCGAAAAUGGAACUACCAGCCAGUUAGCAUCAUGCUGAUCAACAUUCAUGCAUAGCACAUCUUCAUAUGAUGCACAGUCAAAAAGAUAAGUUGUUUCCAAAAUGCCCACACAAUGUUGAAUGUGCGAAAGACAGAAACCGAGAGACGAAGUUUUGGCAAGUGUUGGAGGUGGUGUGCGUAGAUGACAAUGGGCACCCACAUGUCAGAGGCAGAGGCAAAAAUUUGUGAAUAUUUUCACUGCAUUAGGUGGAAUCGAACCCGGGCGGAGAAACGGUUAGGGAGUGGAACUUGACCAUUGGGCUACUCCAGUACUUUUGCUAGAAAUUAGGCACAACAUCUACCACUACUAUGGCACGUCUUCCCCUGCUCCGGUGCGUUCUUGUCCGGGGCCUAGACGUCAUCCUCCGCCUUUGUGCGCUCGCCGCGGCGCCACUGUUUGCCGUUGUGAACAUGCUCAACAACCGAGAGGAAUCUGAAGAGGACUAUACAUGGAGAGGCGAACAGUCGGGACCCACCAAGUCCAUGGUUGUAUGCAAGAAAGUGCCUCAUUGAAAAAUAUACUUCCUCCUAAUGCUAUACUGACGUUGGGGGCCACGGGUUUGUCAACGUAGUUGAGGGAGUCCUGGAUUAGGGGGUGUUCGGAUAGCCGGACUAUACCUUCGGCCGGACUCCUGGACUAUGAAGAUACAAGAUUGAAGACUUCGUCCUAUGUCCGGAAGGGACUUUCCUUGGCGUGGAAGGCAAGCUUGGCAAUACGGAUAUGUAGAUCUCCUACCAUUGUAACCGACUCUGUGUAACCCUAGCCCUCUCCAGUGUCUAUAUAAACCGGAGGGUUUUAGUCCGUAGGACGAACAACAAUCAUACCAUAGGCUAGCUUCUAGGGUUUAGCCUCCUUGAUCUUGUGGUAGAUCUACUCUUGUAAUACUCACAUCAUCAAUAUCAAUCAAGCAGGACAUAGGGUUUUACCUCCAUCAAGAGGGCCCGAACCUGGGUAAAACAUCGUGUCCCCUGCCUCCUGUUAACAUCCGCCCUAGAUGCACAGUUCGGGACCCCCUACCCGAGAUCCGCCGGUUUUGACACCGACAUUGGUGCUUUCAUUGAGAGUUCCUCUAUGUCGUCACUUUUAGGCCCGAUGGCUUCUCCGAUCUUCAACAACAAUGCGAUCCAGGGUGAGACCUUUCUCCUCGGACAGAUCUUCGUAUUCGGCGGCUUUGCACUGCGGGCCAAUUCGCUUGGCCAUCUGGAGCAGAUCGAAAGCUACGCCCCUGGCCAUCAGGUCAGAUUUGGAAGUUUGAGCUACACGGCCGACCUCCGCGGAUACUUGAUCUUCGACGGAUUCAAGCCGCAGCCGAGCGCGCCGCACUGUCACGAUGGGCAUGAUCUAGCUGUGCCGCCGAACAGUGCCCUGGAGGCCGCACCCGCAUCAGCUUCGACCCUUAAUUCAGAGCCAACUGCACCAAUUGAGGAUGGGUGGUUGGACACCGCCUCAUGGACUGCAAUCUCCACGGCGAUCGAGCCGAACACCAGCCCUAUUCUCUGCGAAGCCUGUGACUCCAAGGAGCCGGACUCCUCUCCAGACUCCGAGCCCUCCGCGCCCCUACCAAUCGAACCCGAUUGGGCGCCGAUCAUGGAGUUCACCGCCGCGGACAUCUUUCAGCACUCGCCCUUCGGCGAUAUUCUAAAUUCACCAAAGUCUCUCUCUUUAUCAGGAGAGCCCUGCCCGGACUAUGGUCAGCAAGGUUGGGAUGCGGAUGAUGAAGAAAUUCAAAGCCCACCCACCACCCACUUCGUAGCCACUGUCGAUGAUUUAACCGACAUGCUCGACUUCGACUCCGAAGACAUCGACGGUAUGGACGCCGAUGCAGGAGACGAUCAAGAACCAGCGCCUAUAGGGCAUUGGACAGCCACCUCAUCUCAUGUUGUAUACAUGGUGGACACACCCAAAGGAAGCGACGACGAGGAACACAGGGAUGCAACGAGGGAUCGUUCACUCGAAAAGCAAUCAAAGCGGCGACAUAAGCGCCGCUCCAAGCCCCGCCUCUACAGAGACAGCAGCCAUACAGACCCAGCCAUAGAGCAGGACGAGCCGGCGGAUGACGAACAUGCCUUCGAGCAACCGUCCGAACAGGGCAACUUGGAUAAACAAACCGAAUACUCCGUCCCCGGCGAAAACAACAGUCCGGGCGACCUUACGCCGGAUAGGCUCAUGGAGCAGAAGAACCUCCAUAAAAGGCUCGUCACCACUGCGCGUAGCCUGAAAAAGCAGAAGCACAAGCUCAAAACUACGGAAGAUGCACUCAGAAUCAGAUGGAGCAAAGUACGUAACACCGCAGACAAAUAUGGCGGCAAUCGUCGCACAAAAAGCAAUCCAAAGCGAAAGCUACCGCCUGAAUUUGACUAGGAGGCCUUAGAGCCCCCGCAGUCAAAAAAUAGGAAAGCCACCCGGUCGGAUAGACGACCGCAUGGCCAGCAUGGAGCGGCACGUAGCGCCGCACACAAGCCGGCACGCGAUCCACCAAAGGAUCCGCAUCAAAAAGAUGGCCCAGCCAGAUCUAUCUACGGGACAAGAAAGCAAGCUCUAGUAAGCAAUGCAACACAACAAAUAUCCGAACAUCACGGCACACCCAAAUACAGGGGUGCCGCACACCCCCUAUGUUUCACCGAUGAGGUGCUGGACCAUGAAUUUCCAGCGGGAUUCAAGCCCGUAAACAUAGAGGCGUACGACGGAACAACAGACCCUGGGGUCUGGAUCGAGGAUUAUAUCCUCCACAUACACAUGGCCAGAGGAGAUGACCUCCACGCCAUAAAAUACUUACCCCUCAAGCUUAAAGGGCCAGCCCGGCAUUGGCUCAAAAGCCUUCCCGAAAACACCAUUGGAAGUUGGGAAGAGCUUGAGGACGCUUUCCGGGCAAAUUUUCAAGGGACCUAUGUCCGCCCUCCGGAUGCAGACGAUCUCAGUCACAUAACUCAACAGCCCGGAGAGUCAGCCCAGAAAUUCUGGAACAAAUUUCUUACUAAAAAGAAUCAGAUAGUCGACUGUCCGGACGCCGAAGCCCUAGCAGCUUUUAAGCAUAACGUUCGAGAUGAAUGGCUCGCCAGACACCUCGGCCAAGAAAAGCCAAGAACAAUGGCCGCAUUAACAAGCCUCAUGACCCGCUUUUGCGCAGGAGAGGACAGCUGGUUGGCAAGAUGUAGCACCAGCGACCCAAGUACAUCCGAAGUUACGGAUGGAAACGGAAAACCCCGACGCAGCAAGGACCAACGCCGGAAUAAGGGAAACAUCCCAAAGAGCAUGGCGGUCAACGCCGGAUUCAAAAGCUCGUGGCAGAAUCAGAGAAAGCCGCCCCUCAAGGAUAACAGGGAUGAGCUAUCCAACUUAAACAAAAUCUUGGACAAGAUAUGUCAAAUACACAGUACUCCCGGGAAGCCUGCGAACCAUACCGACAGAGAUUGUUGGGUUUUCAAGCAAUCCGGAAAACUCAAUGCCGAACACAAGGGGCUCGACACACCAAGUGAGGACGACGACGAACCCCACAAGCAGAGCACCAGGAAACAAAAGGAUUUCCCACAAGAAGUCAAAACAGUAAACUUACUUCACGUGACGAACAGAAUGGCGCCAAUAGAGAUAUGCGCCACACGGCCUAUCCCAAAGGAGUCUCGCCAAUGGUUGUUAAAACUGAUCAUCUUUGACCAUUAGGAUUACUCUAGAAGUAUCCGGAGCGCAGGCUGGAUUGCCUUGGUAUUAGAUCCAAUAAUCGGCGGACUCCACUUUACAAAUGUCCUGAUGGACGGCGGCAGUGGUCUAAACCUAUUAUACCAGGACACAAUCCGCUACAUGGGGAUAGACCCAACAAAAAUUCGCCAUAGCAAAACUUCCUUUCAAGGGGUAAUGCCAGGCCCGGAUGCCCGUUGCAUGGGUUCUCUCCGGCUAGAAGUUAUGUUCGGCUCCCCCGAUAACUUCCGUCGCGAACAGCUAACUUUCCACAUCGCCCCAUUCUCAAGUAGCUAUCAAGCACUACUAGGACGCGAAGCUUUCGCCCGCUUUAACGCAAUACCGCAUUAUGCCUCUCUUAAGCUUAAGAUGCCCAGUCCACGAGGCAUCAUCUCUUUAAAGGGAAAACAUUGAGUGUUCCUCCCGCGCGGAAGACAGUGCGGCUGCCUUGACAGCCCCACAAUAAAGCGGCUUCACCAGCCAAAGCACCUAAACAGGUCAUCAAGACCACGGACACGGCUAGACGAGUCCGGCAUAAACAUACAAUUGAUAAAGGCUUAAUAGCCGUAUACCCCUGUACUAGGGGCUCCGUGCAUAUAAAACAAGAGACAAUAAAGCUCAAUUUUACCCAUUUCGAUUUAUACUUCGUUUAUUUAGUAUAACUCAUGUUCGGCAUGAUCUUUCCUAAACUAAGUUCCUCUCUUUUACAGAUGAACACCGUGCUACGCCCAUCUAGGAUACGGCACAACGGAGACACAGGCGCAGACGUGCAGCAAGGACCCGUUCCAAGGAUUCUUUUCAGAUUAAGACCCUGCGUAAACCUUUUUUACUGUCUCUUGUUGAUACACAUCCCCUGGUUUCUUGGUAUAACCAAGGAGGAGGCUGGCGUUUUGGCAUGUGGCCACAUCAGAGUUUUGCGCGUACCUGGACACUAGGGGCUUAUUACUAAGGGCGUCAUCCCGCCCGCCCUCAUAAAGACUGAAUACCUUAGGGAGUGUUUGGCGUCGCGAGUUUGGCCUUAUAUGCAUCAGCUCUGAAUCAUGUCUUUGGUCAAAUGUUGGGUUUGCCCGGCUCCUGUGUUUUGCUACCUUACGUUCCGCUCUAUCGGCUAAGGCAGCACCAGGAGAACUACUGCGAUUGUGCCCCAGUUCGGCCAGGCGAGCACCUUAGUAGAGAAAGCCGAAAACUAACUGUCAUGAUAUAGCGUGAUACUGGUCAACCACUCGAUGACUUACCGGAAUCUUUAGGAUUCCUCCGCAUUAACGAAGGGCUGCUUCCCGGCCAGGCACAUACACGCCCCGAGUUCGGGCAAGCGCAGGCGCCACCAGGGGCUAUAUAAGUAGCCUCACUGUCAAACUCCUAUGGCUAAGUGAAAGUGAUAAAGCAUCAUAGUCCGAUUUCCUAGUUCGUUGCGCUAUCACCUCCUUUGUAGGACCAAGACGUUGGAUCAAGUGUGAAAAUGCGCCUUCUGCGAACACCCCCGCAUUAUGUGCGUGGGGGCUGAAGCCGACGACUGCCAUCUUUCAGAUUAUAUAUACAUAUAUGUUAAACGGCCGCACGUGAGGUAUUAUAAUACUUGCAGGCACAAGUAUAAAAAGCUUCUACAAUUUAUCAAAAUAUUGUUUUACAAUAAUAUAUGCUAUUCGAAUAUAGUAUCCUUCGAGCACUGCGUCUCUAUUAAACGAGCGCCUUGCAGAACUUCCUGAAAAUAGUGCUCGGCAGGUACUCGGCUUCCAUCCGAGUCUGGGGAUGCAACAGCGGUGGCCUCCAUUUCCGCCCAGUAUGUCUUGACACGGGCAAGAGCCAUCCGCGCACCCCCUAUGCACGCUGGCCUCUUCAUCGCAUUGAUAUGCGGCGCCGCACCAAGGAACUGCUGCACCAAGUUGAAAUAACUUUUUGGCUCUGGCCUCUCUGGCCACAGAUGACUCAUGACAUACUUCAUGGCGAGUCCAGACAACCUAUUUAGCUCGGCCCAUUCGGCCAAACGAUCGGCUAAUGAUAGUGGACGCUCCGGAUUGUGGAACUGCGACCAAAAGAGCUUUUCCACUUCGCGAUCUUCUUGAUCUCGGAAGUGUUCGGCCGCAUCUGCGGCACUCGCUACCAAAUCCAGAUAGGUGUCUGCCGUACUCCACAUCCGAUCUAACGGAGCAUGUUUAGGAUCACAGAACUUCCUCCGCAGCAUAAAGGGCUUUCCAGCCGCGAUCACUCCGGCCUGACGCAGCUCCUCCUUCAUAGCUCUCAUCGCAGAGCGAGCAUCCUUGGCAUCGGCAACGGCCUUCUCCAGGUCCGUUUGUUCCGCCCGAUCUUCUUUUUCAAGAAGCUUGCAACGGUCAGCAGCGUUCUUCAGCUUCACGGCCACCUCGGCCAUUUCCUUCUUGCUUCGGCAGUGAGCAGCCUGUUCGGCUUUCAGCUCUUCAAUUGCCUUUCCGGCAGCCGCAUCACUUUUCCUGGCUUGCUCCUUGGCUCGGGCAAGUUCUGCCCAAAGAUUCUCCAUGGCAGCAGCACCACCUGCAUCAAGCGCACACAUUGUAAGAUACUGGCAUAAAGCUCCUCUUACCAGGUGCCGCCGGAGUAAUUAUAUACCUUGUGCCUCGUCAAGCCGCUUGUUGACAAGCGCGAUGUCGGCAUCUGCCACGUCAAGUUGCCUCUUUAGCUCGGCAAAUUCAUCAGUCCGGCUGACCACCCGACACUUCGCCACCUACGUAUGAAGGCGGCAUAUUAGACCUAGGAUUAUGAUCCUCUGCGCGCCGUCACUUUUGACAACGCAUAGAGUCUCAGGGGCUACUAUCUACACAGGGCGCAUCUUAUUUAUACGCAACUGUCCAAAAAGGGUACAUUAUUUCGCGUACCUCAAAACCUGUCAGUAAACUCUUGACGGUCUCGUGCAAUCCGCUCUCUGCGGAUGAAAUCCUCUCAAUCACCGUACCCAUCAAUGCACGGUGCUCCUCUGAGAUAGAUGCUCGCCCUAGCAGAUGCUUCAGCUCCUCCGACCGCGCACCAGACGGUGCCGGACUCGUCCGAUGGCCCUUUUCGAAGGCCGAACACGGAGGGCUCUGGGGGCCAUAUGACUACCUUCCGACCCUGUCGGAUUCGGAGAAACCCUCUGCGACGAUACCUUAGGAUCGCCCGCCUCGCAAGGCGGUACGGCAGGGGGAGGCGUUCCGCUCUCCAUCAUCUCUGGAAGAAGAUCCCCCGAAGACGAGCUCUGCUGAGAAGGGCUAAGGUCCGGGCUACAAGCUAAAUUUUCGAUUACUCUUCUCAGAUAUAACGCAAGGAUUUCUCUCAUUUCUUAAAAAGAAAAGCUCCUCUCUACUUACGGCUCGGUGGAGGGCUGAUCCCCUUGAGGGCAUAAUUCGGCCGAAGUAUCCCCCGGCGCAGGACCCUCUGACGAAGAUUUCUUCCCCUGCUUUGAGGCCAUGGUCUCCGGGUCGUCAGAGGCAGUCCUCUUCUUCCCCUGAGGAGAGGAAUUUUCGAUUCCUCCCUUCCGGACAACCUUCUUCGAGGACGCUGUAGCUUCCUUGUCCCCUCCCUCGCUUUCCUCCGAAGGCACUACCUCCAACAUCCUGACUAGCACGGGAUCCGGCAUGGUCUCGGGGAGGGGGGCCGGACACCUGAUUAGCUUUGCUUUCGCUAUCCACUCCUGUUUGAAGGACAACUCUUUUAGGGGCAAUUUUAUGAUAAAUAUACGGAUAGCGGGUCCGGGCACAAGGCUACUUACUUGAGUAUCCAGACGAUUGCAGCUCAGACCUGCGUCCUCCGUAGAAUCCGGACACACUACUUGUGGUCCGAAGAACAAUUUGUACAUCUCCACGGGCGUCAUGCCAAGAAAAUGUUGGAGAACUCGUGGUCCCUCCGGGUUGAACUCCCACAGGCGGAGGGGGCGACGUUUGCAGGGCAGAACUCGGCGAAUUAACAUAACCCGCGUCACCACGACCAGAUUGAUGUCUCUUUCUAGGAGAUCUCGGAUGCGGCCCUGCAACAGGGGCAUGUCCUUUGCCGACCCCCAGUCCAGCCCCUUAUUGACCCAUGACGCCAGUCGUGGAGGGGGACCCGAGCGGAAAGCAGGCAGCGCCACCCACUUGGUGCUCCUAGGAGCUGUGAUAUAAAACCACUCUCGUUGCCAUAAGCUGGACUGCCCUUGAAAAGAGCCCUCGGGCCAUGGAGCACCAGCAUUCUUGCUUAUAAAAGCACCUCCGCACUCCGCGUGCCGUCCCUCGAUCAUCUUCGGCUCUACUUUGAAGGUCUUGAGCCAUAGUCCGGAGUGAGGAGUAAUACGGAGGAAGGCUUCACACACGACGAUGAAUGAGGAAAUAUGGAGGAUGGACUCCGGAGCUAAGUCGUGAAAUUCCAGCCCAUAAUAAAACAUGAGCCCCCUCACGAAGGGAUCCGUCGUGAAGCCUAGCCCCCGAAGGAAGUGAGACAUGAACACCACACUCUCACCAGGCUUGGGAGUGGGAAUGACCUGCCCUUGAGUAGGCAGCCUAUGCGAGAUUUCGCCGGUCAAGAACCUGGCCUCUCUCAACUUCAGCACGUCCUCCUCCGUGACGGAGGAGGGCAUCCAUCAGCCUUGAAUGUCGGAACCGGACAUUGUCUAAGGUCCGAAGCACCUGAAAUCUGGAGCCUUGGGUGUUGGACCUCGAGGCGGAGGGCGAAAUCGUUCGAGAUUGAAAGAAAGGAGUAAGGCCUUGGUCUCUUUAUAAGAGGUUGAAUACCAAGGGCCCUCCCCAUGACCGUUUGGGACUCGCCUUUGAUCGAGAAAACAUACCAACGGGAUAUUUAUUUGCCCCAGUUUAAUCAUGUGCAGGAUCUAAGCUUCCAUGCCAUUAAUAGGACUGGGUAGAGAUAUCGGAGCAGAUCGAUUGCCCAGCCCCCCUGCUUGAAGACCCCGCAGAUUCUCUCCUAACGGAGAUGCUGGUUCCGGCGCCUUACGAGGUGCCGGUGAAGAAGGCCAAGAAGAAGGCCACGGGGAACCGAAAGGGUCUCCGGCGCAUGGUUAUAUUGGACUCCUCGUCCGAUAACUCCGAAGCGCACUCCUCCCACGAAAACGAGGAGGAGGAAGAGGAAAGUUCUCCCCCCCCCCAACUGGGAGAGACAUGAAAAGGAAGGCCACCCCAACCGGGGAGGCCGAAGGGUCCAAGAAGGGAAGGACCCUCCUUCCGGACUGCUCCACGACGGUCGCCCACAGCGACGACGAGUGGUUACCCAGGGACAAGCCCCUGGCUAAGUCAUAAGUAUCCGGAUACCAUAGUAAUUCAUGGUAUGUUUUAUUGCACUGCUUCUCCUUACGCCGAAUAUGAUUAUGCAGUCCGUCCCGAGCCCGUAUCGACGUAUCUUCGUCGGACGGUUCUUUGGACUCGUCGGAUAUGAAUAGCAAUUCACUUCCAACCGCCUCCACCCCUUGCCCUACGGACAAUGUCGAGGUGUUGUCUCAAAAGGCACCGAGUCGAGGGGAGGUAGUCCCGGGGGCGCCUCGAGGCGACCGUCCGGACCCUGGGCGCAAAGGGAGAAAGACUCCCACGGGCUCCAAGUUCGGCCCCCAGUCAAACACUGCGCCAGAACCUUCAGCGGUUCCGGACUGCGGCGGGCGACCCCCCGUUAAGAGGGGCAAGCCGCCUGUGCCAGUGGCCUCUGUUCAUCCAGAGGCACCGGACAACUUGCUGGAAGCGCUUCACGGCGCUUCCAUCGAUGAAGAGCAUCGCACUGUCAUGAGCACGGUGAUUGAGAAAGUUCAGUCCACCAAAAACGGACUGACCGAAGCUUGUGCCAGCCUCCUAACAGGCUUUUAGGUGAGCAAUCAAAAUAUAGGAGAAUAUUAUCGCAUAGACAACAGCCCCUGAUGCUCUAUUUGGCGUUCGCGAAGAAAAGCCGAAUAGAGGAUCAAAUAGUGACUCAGGAGUCUAAUCAGAAUAUGUCUAUGUGCAUAUGCAGGCUUCACUGCUGGCCGCUGCUGCACGUACUGCGGAGGUCGCUGCAUUGAAGCAGGACCUUGAGCGGUCCGAGGAAGAGCUCGGCCUUACCAAGAGGCAGCUCGAGGAGAGCAAAGGUAAGAAAUACCUUGUCUAUAUAUUAAAAAGAAAUUCAGUUGUAUAGUAAUAGGAUCAUCAUGAAUUUGCCAGGGGCCACGACCGAGCUGGGGAACCUGAAGAAGGCGCUGUCCGAGGCCGAAGACAAAGCGGCCAAGGAGCACAUUGAGUGGGAAAAGCAAGAAGCCCGGGUAGGCGAGGUGCAGCAAGAGCUUGAGGCUCUCGCCAAAAAACACGAGCCCUUGGAGCUUGACUCUAAGACGCGAGAGUCCGAGCUUGCGAAGGUACUCGAAAGCGCAUGUAGCGCCAAGACUGAAGCCCACAAGGCCCUCCAGGAGAUUGAUGCGGUAAAGAAGAUAGCAGCGGGUAAGGCAUUCAUUAUGCAGAGCAAGUAUGUGAAGGAAACUUUCCUUUUACUUACCCGAAUUCGGAGCUCUCCAGAAGCGUUCGCAGAUCUUCCCCGCAGCGUAUUGGAUGCCGCUGAGUUUUACCGAGCUAAGGAGGGGAGCUCGACGAAAAAGUUGUUCUGGUCUCAAUAUACUGGGACCAAACACCCAAUGCACGUGAGCGACCAGCUGAAGCAACUGGUCGAGCUUCACAAGGCGGCCGAACAGGCCAUGAAGGGUCUUAUAGUCCGGAUGUGGCCUGGCGAUCCCAUGCCUAGCAGCUACUUCGGUCUGGUGAGGCGGCUUGUGGAUGCUUGCGCACGGCUUGAAGUCAUAAAGCGGUCCGUCUGCAUCGAGGGUGCGCGUAGGGCUUUUGCCCAGGCGAAGGUGCACUGGGCGAAGCUGGACGUCGUGAAGCUGUUGAAGGUGGGGCCACCGGAGGGCAAGGAGCAUCACCGCCCCGAAAUGUAUUAAUGACAGUGUCCUGAAGGGUUCCCUCCUUGUGGCGGAGGAAUGUGCUAGAGAUGUAAUUUUUGAAUGAACAUGCUCAUGUGAUCCUGUAAUGUGAAACGAGUUCAUUUGCACUAUGCAACGCUUUUUGAAUUUAAAAUAUUACCUUCUGUGCGGCCGUUUAUAAAAUCUGAGAGUUGGCCAGUCGUCGACUUCUGCCCCCAUGUAACUAGUACUGGGGUGUUCGGGAUAAACCUGAGCACUCUUUAUCCCAAUUUUGUGUCCUUCGAGGGAGGUGUUCAGCAUAACGAACCAGGCAAUCGGACUAUAAGGCUUUAUCACUCUCACUUAGCCAUAGAAGUCUAUAAUUUUAAAUUUUGGCGAAGCCCCUAGUAUUCGGAAGACCUAAUUUGGGGCACUAUAUACGCCUAAGUCGGGCAAGGCCGACUCCUCGCCCGAAGCGAAAAAAGUCUUUAAGGACUUGAGACCUCUCGAACAGCGACCAGCUCUCACCUUAUCAUGACAACCAGUUUUCGGCUUUCUCUACUGAGGUGCUCAUCCGGAAGAACUGGGACACAAUCGCAGUAGUUCUCCCAGCGCUACCUUAACCGAUAUAGCGGAACGUAAGGUACCAAAACAUGGGAGCCGUGCAAACCCAACUAUUGACCCAAGACAUGAUUCAGAGCUAGGACGGGGACCGAAUUGCUAGGCGAGCUCUGAACGUGCCAGGUGAUCCUGUUGCAAAUUAUUCCGGACUCGCUUGACGGUGUCCGGGGGAUGUAUCGCCGAAUUGGCGGUUUGCCUUAAAAGGCUGCUUUGUGCUUCUGCUGCGAGGGCCGCAGUGUGCUCUUCAGUGUGGAGCGAGCAUUCUGUGUUUCCAUUGACUGUUAUGACCCCCCUAGGUCCUGGUAUCUUGAGCUUGAGGUAUGCGUAAUGUGGUACCACAUUGAAUUUUGCAAAUGCGGUUCGCCCGAGCAGUGUGUGAUAGCCACUACGGAACGGGGCGAUAUCGAAGAUUAACUCCUCGCUUCGGAAGUUGUCCGAAGAUCCGAAGACCACUUCCAGUGUGAUUGAGCCCGUGCAAUGGGCCUCUACACCUGGGAUGACGCCCUUAAAGGUGGUUUUGGUAGGUUUGAUCCUCGAGGGAUCUAUACCCAUUUUGCGCACUGUAUCCUGAUAGAGCAGGUUCAGGCUGCUGCCGCCGUCCAUAAGGACUCGAGUGAGGUGAAAUCCGUCGAUGAUGGGGUCUAGGACCAAUGCGGCGGAUUCGCCAUGACGGAUACUAGUGGGGUGGUCCCUGCGAUCAAAGGUGAUCGGACAAGAGGACCAUGGGUUGAACUUUGGUGCGACGGGCUCUAUCACAUAGACGUCCCUUAGUGCACGCUUCUGUUCCCUCUUGGGAAUGUGGGUUGCGUAUAUCAUGUUCAUCAUAUUCACUUGUGGGGGGAACGUCUUCUGUUCUCUCGUGUUUGGCGGCCGGGCCUCCUCCUCGUCAUCACUAUGCAUCCCCUUAUCCUUGUUUUCGGCAUUCAACUUGCCGGCCUGCUUGAACACCCAACAUUCUCUGUUGGUGUGAUUGGCUGGCUUAUCGGGGGUGCCGUGGAUUUCACACGAGUGAUCGAGUAUGCGAUCCAAACUGGAUGGGCCCGGAGUACUUCUUUUGAAUGGAUUUUUCAGCUGAACGGAUCUAGAGCCUCUGAAUCCGGCAUUGACUGUCGUAUCAUUGGCGUUAUCGCCGUUGUUGUGGCGCUUGUGUCUGUUGCGACGUGGUCUAUCGUUGGCAUCUUUAGUACCCGAAGUGCCCGGAUUCCUUGAUGUGUUGUUGCUGCGAGCAAGCCAGCUAUCCUCGCCCGCACAAAAGCGGGUCAUGAGUGUCGUGUGGGCUGCCAUGGACUUCGGCUUCUCCUGGCCCAGGUGCCGGGCCAGCCACUCGUCACGGAUAUUAUGCUUGAAUGCCACUAAGGCCUCUGCAUUCGGACAGUCGACAAUUUGGUUUUUCUUAGUUAGGAACCGUGUCCAGAAUUGCCUGGCCGAUUCCCCUAGCUGCUGAGUUAUAUGGCUCAAGUCAUCAGCAUCCGGUGAUCGCACAUAAGUGCCCUGGAAGUUGUCAAGGAAUGCAUCUUCCAAAUCCUCCCAACUGCCGAUGGAGUCUGCUAGCAAGCUAUUCAGCCAAUGCCGAGCUGGUCCUUUGAGUUUUAGUGGCAGGUACAUGAUGGCAUGAAGGUCAUCACCGCAAGCCAUGUGGAUGUGGAGGAGGACAUCCUCAAUCCAUACAGCGGGAUCUGUUGUACCAUCAUACGAUUCGAUAUUUACGAGUUUAAAACCCUCCGGGAAUUCGUGAUCUAUAACUUCAUCCGUGAAGCAUAGGUGGUGUGCGGCGCCUCUGUGCCGGGCUAUAUCACGAUGCAGUUCAUAUGAGUCUUGUUUGCUGUAUUCGGCCCGGCCGGAUUUACUUUUAGUGUAUCCAGCGUGAUAGUCAUCGUCCCGCAUUAGCGCGCAUCCCCGUGACCCAUAUAUCGACCUUGCAUGUUUUGCCCUGCUUUCCAGUACGUCUCGCAGGUCCCGCGUGUUGCCCCGGGCCUUGGUAUUUUUGUUUGAGUGGCGGCGGGGUGCAGGCUGAACUUCAAGCUGAAACGCCUCUCUAUCUCGGCCAUGAGGUGGCCGGUCAGCGGCAUCGUACACUGGUGAUGUAGGUUUCAAUGCUUCCUCCUCGAGGUAAGGUAGCAACUUGCGCUUUGGGUAACUCUUGAAGGGGCGCUCAAGUUCGUAUUCCUCGACCGCAAGGACUUCGGUCCAUCUGUCUGCUAGCAAAUCUUGAUCAGCUCGAAGCUGUUGUUGCUUUUUCUUCAAGCUAUUUGCUGUGGCCAUAAGCCGGCGCUUGAAGCGCUCCUUCUCCACGGGAUCCUCAGGGACGAUAAAUUCUUCAUCGCCGAGGCUCACCUCGUCUUCAAAGAGAGGCAUGUAAUUGUCCUUCUCCGAUUCUCCAUCUGCUGCCCGCUCUGGAGGGCUUGCUUGUUCACCCUCCCGCUCUAAAUCGUGCUGGAGGGGAUUGUUGUUGUCUUUGGCACUAUCCAGAGUGUUAUUGUCUCUUGUGCCGGUAUCACUACUUUUGCUAUGGCGGGACUUAGAGCGUCGGCGCUGACGUCGGCGCUUAGAUUGCUUCUUGGAGGGGUCAUCCUCCGCUGUCUCGUCGCCAUUUCCUUUUUUUGAGGUGUCCACCAUGUAUAUAUGACUAGCAAAAGAGCCUGUGCGUUGCAACGGGAAGAUACUUUACUAUCGAGCAAACAAAAAUUCCAGGAAUCUGAAUGCGACAUAGGCUUGUGCUGUAGAUUGAACGGUGAAAUUUAUCAUCUAUGAUGCAUCAGUCUUGGUGACGUGAGUUUAAUUAACAACGUCGGGUGGCGACAUAAGGCGGCAAUUUAGGCGGAGCCUACCUACCUAGAAGAAAUAGAGUAGAAGAGGAGGCGUGGUUGGUCUUCUACUUAUACUUAUUUUAGGAGGAAGAUAGUAACAUGCAUGAGCGUUGCAAUGGGGACAUAUAUAUUUUAGUGGUUCACAUUAAUCAUGUGUACCAUCUACCUUUAAAAUCUCUAUGGAUAUUAGGCAGCAUUGUCAACUUAUUUCUACCAUUAAACCAUUCUUCUUUAUGUUCUUAGAUACCUCACUCUCACUCUCCCUCUCACUCAUGCAGUAAUUAUAACUGUGCAAUGCACGUAUUGACUAAUACCACUUAUAAGUUAAAAUAACCCGAGGCAUAAUAUUUUGGAGCUGCACCUCAAAAUUUACAGAACACUAAUAGUUCACUCGUACAUAUUAGCAUGUAUGUUCUAGGAACCAUAUAUCAAAGCAGUUAUGUACUUGCCAUGGUGUUGACGUGCAACCAUAAAAUGAACUUUAAUUUCUCUCACGAGCUUCUAAACCCGUGAGUUAAACCACUCGCAACAAUAUUGUACCAAGAUAACACAUGAAUAUUUAUUUAUUUGUACAUAAACCCAACUACUUUGAACAAAGCAUGCCCUCCGGGCUAAGAUUUGUAUGUGUAUCAACAUUAGCCCUCCCAGUGACAAUAGGCAAACAAUUACAAUGCUCAUAAGUAAAAUAAGGGUUUCCUCUUACUGGAAUGCAACUAAAAACAUAUUAUAACUUAAUAGCACUUUAGUGCCACUAUAUGAAUCUCUCUAUUUUUAUUUAUUCGGUUCCAGAUUGUAAUGUCUAAACCAGCAUUCUAUGGGAUACAUCAUAAUCAAAAUUAUUAGGUGAGAAAAAUAAAUAUGCUAGAUUUAACGAUUCAGUCUAAAUAUGUGAAUAUCAUCUGAACAUACAAUUCAGAAUGUAUACUUGCCAGGCAAGCUUAGGUAAUUGUUGCAUAAAAAAAUAACAAUCACGACACCUCAACUUUCUUAAAAACUGAAGUCACCUUUCAUUAUAUCUAAGCAAUGCAAUCUCUUAGUGUGCAAUGCUGGAGGGCAUCUACGAUUUAAUUGAUUAGAGAAAUUAUCCAUCACCACCAACGGCCUGCUCU
rnacentral:lncRNA from 1 species